ACCGGUUCGGUAGGUGACCGGUACGCCUAUCAUUUUUGGUACGGCAUACCUGGGGUGUAACCAUAUAUAGAAACUGCAUAUAGGCAAUGUGGUGUAGUCAAGAGAUUGCAUCUGUAUAUGCGGCCUCAUGUACUGCAUUUUGAAACACUACUAAUGUUGGAACAUGGGAGGCAUGAAAUAAAAAAGUGCCAGCCGUUAGUGGAUUAUUUGCCAUAUACUUGAAGCUGACACUCACCUUUGUCUCUUUUUGGGGUUUCAUAUAUGAAUCAAUGAACCUAAGAAAUAGCAUAUUUUGUGAUCAAUGAAAUUUACUCUUCUUCAUCUCCACUUUAUUUUCUCGAUAAUUUUUUUUAAUGCAUAGCUAAAGGAUUUGCAAAGAUUGUAACUGAUAUACUCAGUUUGCCAUCAAUGCAUAAAUGGAAUGGUUUUGAUUAAAUGAAGGUGUUUGAGUUGCAAGUUGAAGGUUAUUCAAAGGUUCUAAGAAUAUUUUUAUAUAAUUUAAGAAUAUUAUUUUAGAAUUAUAUAUUUUUAUAUAAUUCAAGAAUAUUAACAAUUUGUUGUAUCAUAUAUUUUAUAUCAUAAUAUUUAGUAUUCUAUUAGUGUUUGGAUUGCAUGUAACCUGCUCUGAUUUAGGAUAGACUUGAAAGUAAUCUAGUCUAAUCGAAUCAAAGUUAUUUGGAUUAGGCUUGGAUUGAAAAAUAUGACUUGCUUUAAAUAUGGCUUGGAUCGAGUCCUAAAUACUGCCCAAUCUGAAUUCAAAAGGCCAGAAUCAGCAUGAAAGUAAUGCCCUAUGUUUUGCACAAUCUUCCUUGAACUUAAGAAAUUAAUUUUCUUUAUUAAUAACUUUUAUGUAGUUGGUCACCAAUUUGUGUUGUUAAUUAUACUUUAUAUGUUUUUGUUAAUCAAGUUUUCUAUGAAAUGGGUUCUUGAUCAUGUCUACAUGUUUAAUUAUUAUUUACCUGCAUAAUGUGUCAAGGAUAUAUAAAAACCAAUUUAUAUGUUUCUCCUAUACCUUGUGUCUCUAUUAUUCUUGACCUGAUUUGAUGCAAAAACCUGACAACUUGAAUCAAUAAAUCUUAAAGCAAACCAAAUUUGUCACUGAUGAAAACGUAUUAGACUUAGAUUCUUAUUUUUGACCCAAUGCAAAUAUGGAUUGGAUUUGGAAUGUGCGAAACCUGAUUCAACCUAACCUGCUUGUAGCCUAAGUAAUUAGUAUGUAGUUACUUGAUUUCUACUUUCCUUAUUAUACUAUUUUAGUUAUAGAAUAUUUACUUUUACAUAGUUCAGUUCUAUAGAUUAUGGAGAAACUGAAACAAAGGGAGAAAGUAGGGAUCGAAAUGGGAUAGGUUGGGUUGAGCUUUCCUAUUGCUUAGGCCUAGACUAGAAGAAAUUUUUAGCUCUGGACUGGGCUGAGGCUUGAAAAUUUUUCUGUGUGUUUUGCUUGAACCAACCCUGAGUCUAAAAUCAAGCCUGGCUUGAAGCGCAAAUGAACUCGAACUAACCAAACCGAAUUGGUCUGAAAGGCUCAAUCCAACCAGAACUAGCUUGACAAUCUUCAAUUAUCCCCCAUCGCCCUCUCGUCUAUCCUCUCUCUCUCUCCCUCCUACGUCACCUUCCUCACCCACCAUCCCUUUCGUGGCUCCCUCAUCUUCUCCACCUUACAUUCCCAAAAAUCUGCCAUCCUCCACUCCCUCACUCCUCCAUUAUGCCUCCAAUGCUAACCCUAACCCUAACCCUGCCACCUCUAUUCCACAUGCAAUCCUAACCGUAACCUUGACAAUCCUCCUCUUCCACGAUCCCUAGUGACGUCCCCUCCAAUUACUUUACCCUUCACUACUCUGCAGCUGCCCUCCUCGUCACCUCGUAGCUCCUCAUUACUGAUCUCCUCACCUCCUAUGUGCUCCCUGCACCAAGAAGGGGGAGAGAAAGUAAUAUGAGAAAAAGAGAAGAGGAGAGAAGUUGUUCACCACAUUGCCCAUGCUUCACCAUCCUUCGCUUGGGAGAGCCGUUUGCCGCUCAGGAUUUAGAGGAGAGAAGAUAUGGAGUGAGGAGGGUUUAGAGCAUGAGAAAUGGAGAGAAGAGAUGAGGCAUGAGGUUGUGAGCAGUUUAGGAUGUGGGGCACUUAGGUGUAGGUGUGGGUGGGGUGAGGAAUCGAGGGUAUUGGGUUUCUUCAGUGGUCUGGGUCAAGCUUAGCUGCUAGCCACAUGAGGGUUUAAACAUCCAAAUUGCGCAAGCUCAUCAAUCCAAGCCUGGUUAGGUCAGGUGUCAUGCUUGGGCUUCAGCCUUGGAGUUGGGUUCGUGCUCUAGGCUUGGCCAAGCGGUGACUUGAACUGAGCUUGAAAUGUAAUUGAGUCCUUGUUUUCAUGUCCAAGCCCAACCUGAACAUUCUCAGGCUGUGCCGAAAACCCAACCUGAAGCCGGCCUAACCCAGUAGGCCUUGGGCUAACCUAGGUCCAUUUCCAGCUUUAGGAGAGAUUUUCCUAUGUAUAUGAGCUUCCUUUAUCUAUGCUAUAUGCAAACAGGGUCAAACUAAAAUAUGUAAGUAAGACUCUGUCAAUUGAUCUUUAAAAGAACAUAUGGCCCUAAUAAACAAACUCUAAAGAUUGUUGUUUCGAGUAAGAAGUUCUAGAUGAAUUGAAAAUUUCAAUCUGAAUCGAAUAUACAGAUGUUGUUGGUGACUUCUCAAAAUUUAUAGUUGAAGAUGGAUAUUGUAGGAGUUGCUGAUCAAAUUGCCCCUUCUCAUAUUCUAUAAAAUUUUGAAUUUUGCUUGUUCAUCCUUCAUGCCUUCAAAAUCAUUCUAGGUAUAAAACCUUUUAUCUUGAAAUCCAUCAUCUGUUGAAGCUAUAUAGACCUUAAAUUUAUCUCACUACAGGCUACUGUGUUGUGCUGUAGUAAAAUUGUCAAAAUCUACAAAAGAAUGCAAGUAAAAGUUAACUGUUGAAGUUUAUUAAGGUCUUGAUUAAUUAGAUAUAGGAAGAUUUAGUAAAGAAGAGAUGAGAAAAUAAGGUGCCUUUUGGUGAUAUUAUGUGAACUGGUCCAGUAAUAAAUGAAGUUCCUAUGUAUAUACUUUUGAUGGUAAUCCAUUUUUUGAGCUAUUUAGCUUCACUCAUCUAUCUAUAUUGAGAAGACUUAGUGAUAACUAUCAAUAUUAUAAUUUCAUUUCAGGGCUCAAGUAUGGGGCAGUACUUUAAAAAAUAUUUGGAGCCUAUCAAAUUGAAUGAUGUUCAUGUAAGUGAAAAGUGCUUUAACUUUUGUUGAAUUUAAGAAAUGCUUACGUUGGACUUGUUUUCUUUGAUCCAUCACUGCAAAAGGUUGAUUGGAAGACAAUGGAUCUAAGCUACCUGACCGAGGUAAUGUUGUAUCUAUAUAAGAAUUCACUUGGCUGGAUUCUUCAUUUGAUCUCCUUCAUUCAGCAAUUCUCAUAUUGGCAGGACAAAUUUUUGAGACACUUUGCUAAACUAGUUGCACAUGCCAAACCUGUUCAUGGACCUGAUUUAAUUUUAAAAGCACACAACACAGAUGGUGAUGCGUGGAUCCAAUAUAAAGAUCAAGCUGACUUUGAACAAAUUGCACGACAAUUUGGGAUAUUUGAAGAAUGGAAGGCAAUUCCUCAUCCUAUUUCAUAUUUCAUUAUUAUUGAUUUUUAGAAAAUAUAUCUAAAAAAAUUAAAUUCUAAAUAUAACACAUUUUUUUCUAAGAUCAAUUUGAAGGAUUGUCGCUUGUGACAAUAGUUUUCCUCUAUUCUUAAACUUGACUAAUCAUCCGAUUUUUCUCUUUAUGUAGCUUAAUUUUAGCUAUCCCUAGGUGGUUUAAGGCCAUUAUGGUUUUGCUUAACCCAAAUACCCCACUUAUGAUUUUAAUCAAGGUCCACAAUUUCAGUACUAGGUACUAUAAUGGUAGGUUACCUUUUUGGUAAGAUACUGUUGGUGUGGCAAAGUACAGGUUGGUAUGGUGUCAUCUGAAAUCGGGCGGUAUGAUUUGGUAUAGUACAGGACACUCCCUGAAUUUGAGGGAUACUGGGCAGUUCCUCUUGGUUUGGACGGGUAUGAACUGGUUCAACUCAUAUACCGAAUUAAACCUCAGUAUCAUAUGGUACGAUCAAUACGGAGGAUCUUGAUUCAGUAGUAUAUCAUAUAAUUUUUAUUAUUUUAUAAUAUUACAGUAAUAUUUUCAUAUCAUAUUAUAUUAUAAUAUAAUACACUAUUAUAGUAAUAUAGGGAAAAGACUUUUUUAGGUUGAAGGGAUAUACAAUGCCCUUUUGUCUGCUAAUUGAAUGCAAGGUGUCCCAACCAAUGGAUGGAAGUCAACUUAUUUUUAGUUUCCACAGGAGAGGCAAUGGAGCUAUAAUAUAGUACUAUCAUACAUUAUAGGACAAUACUAUAUUACAUAUAGUAUAAUAAAAAGCAACUUAACAUUAUUGUCUAUUAUUACAUGGUCCAAGAGCGCAAACGUGUCCAUCCUAAGAAAGCUAAUUUUUUAUAAAAGAAGUGCAUUUCUAGGGAUAUCAACAUGUCUCUCAAAGCAAAUUAGGCCUUUUCCCCACCAAACCUGGUGUCAGCCAUACCCACAUGAUUUGACUCCUUAUAUUUAAAAAAUCAAUCUAUAUUCCAAAUGGGGCCUUAGGGCCAGUUUGGAAAGGGGAUAAACCAGUUUUAUCCCUAUUAAACAUUGGGAUAAAUGCCAAAUGACCACUUUAUCCAUGAUAGAUUAUUAUACCGGUAGUUUAGACAAAGUAUCAGUUGUAGGUAUAAUUUCAUAAUUAUGGGGAGCUAGAAGGACAAUCGGUUUAACUGGAAUAGAGUUAAUUAUUGAAAAGAGUCCAAGAUUCGCUGAACCGGUACUGGGACCCGUACUGGUCGGCGGACGGUUCGGUACGGUAUCGGUUCGAUACCGUCCGACACACGGUACGCUGAGGCAUAUCAGUUCAGAAUCGGCACGCUAAUUUUUUUCUUAAAAGCUUUUUAGGUUUGAUUUAUUGGUAAUCAAUUUUUUAAAACUUUUUCAAUAAUUUUAAGUAUAAUUUAAUAUUUUUUGAUGUUUUUAGAUGUUUCUACGAUCCUGAUAUAACCUAAAUGAUGCAUCUUAUUGUUUUAAAGUGAUACAAAAUAUAAAAUAAUUAGUGAGAUGCUGCAUGCUACAAGAAGCAAUAUGAAAUUUNNNNNNNNNNNNNNNNNNNNNNNNNNNNNNNNNNNNNNNNNNNNNNNNNNNNNNNNNNNNNNNNNNNNNNNNNNNNNNNNNNNNNNNNNNNNNNNNNNNNNNNNNNNNNNNNNNNNNNNNNNNNNNNNNNNNNNNNNNNNNNNNNNNNNNNNNNNNNNNNNNNNNNNNNNNNNNNNNNNNNNNNNNNNNNNNNNNNNNNNNNNNNNNNNNNNNNNNNNNNNNNNNNNNNNNNNNNNNNNNNNNNNNNNNNNNNNNNNNNNNNNNNNNNNNNNNNNNNNNNNNNNNNNNNNNNNNNNNNNNNNNNNNNNNNNNNNNNNNNNNNNNNNNNNNNNNNNNNNNNNNNNNNNNNNNNNNNNNNNNNNNNNNNNNNNNNNNNNNNNNNNNNNNNNNNNNNNNNNNNNNNNNNNNNNNNNNNNNNNNNNNNNNNNNNNNNNNNNNNNNNNNNNNNNNNNNNNNNNNNNNNNNNNNNNNNNNNNNNNNNNNNNNNNNNNNNNNNNNNNNNNNNNNNNNNNNNNNNNNNNNNNNNNNNNNNNNNNNNNNNNNNNNNNNNNNNNNNNNNNNNNNNNNNNNNNNNNNNNNNNNNNNNNNNNNNNNNNNNNNNNNNNNNNNNNNNNNNNNNNNNNNNNNNNNNNNNNNNNNNNNNNNNNNNNNNNNNNNNNNNNNNNNNNNNNNNNNNNNNNNNNNNNNNNNNNNNNNNNNNNNNNNNNNNNNNNNNNNNNNNNNNNNNNNNNNNNNNNNNNNNNNNNNNNNNNNNNNNNNNNNNNNNNNNNNNNNNNNNNNNNNNNNNNNNNNNNNNNNNNNNNNNNNNNNNNNNNNNNNNNNNNNNNNNNNNNNNNNNNNNNNNNNNNNNNNNNNNNNNNNNNNNNNNNNNNNNNNNNNNNNNNNNNNNNNNNNNNNNNNNNNNNNNNNNNNNNNNNNNNNNNNNNNNNNNNNNNNNNNNNNNNNNNNNNNNNNNNNNNNNNNNNNNNNNNNNNNNNNNNNNNNNNNNNNNNNNNNNNNNNNNNNNNNNNNNNNNNNNNNNNNNNNNNNNNNNNNNNNNNNNNNNNNNNNNNNNNNNNNNNNNNNNNNNNNNNNNNNNNNNNNNNNNNNNNNNNNNNNNNNNNNNNNNNNNNNNNNNNNNNNNNNNNNNNNNNNNNNNNNNCUGCUACUGUUGGCCGACAAACCAUUUGAUUAUAGGAUCAUCCUCAUUGUCAACGAAAGCAUUAUGGAUCGUAGUUAUGUAUUUUAGCUCCACUUUCUCCUGAAUGCACUUUAGCCUCAACCUCAGAUUGUAGUGAACAUAUAUAAGAUCGUUGAGAUGCUUCUAUGUCAGACGAGUCCUUUGCUUACUAUUGAUGAGGGUGAAGAUAGACCAGUUGUGCUCAUAGCUACUCGAGGAGACUGUUUGAGAAAGGAUCCGGAUAGCUAGCUGCUCAAGAUUUCUCUCGGACAAACCAAAAUGAAUCUACCAUUCAGCUACAAAAAUAUUGAAGAAAAUUAUAUGUAAGUUAGUAUCAUAUUAGUAACCAUUUAACGUCAGGUAAUUUUUAUCGUUGAUAUGUAAUAUAUCUGGAUUCAUACUUCUCUUACGACCGUUGCUGAGACUCCAAAACUGUUGGUGCCCUUUUUAAAUAUUUUUUCUAUAAAAAAAAAAUAUAUUGUAAUAUGUUCAUCAUUGAAGAUACGAGUUACCUUAUGCAUGUCACUUAAGUUAAUUUACCUCUUCUAAACAUAAGGCAUCGACUUCUAGAUUAGGCUCCCAUCUUGUAAAUCAUAUUACAUAGAGCGUCCAGAAGUUCAUUAUCCAUAUCGAUUCCAGGUAUGGUGUAUUGGAACCUUGGGUUAAGGUAGUAAGCUGCAGGUAGAGUUCGUAAUUGUUAUAGUAAGAUUGUACAAGUACAGGAGCAGUCUAAUUUUUAAUAUUCUUGCUUACCUGGUAGCUGCAAGUUUCUAUCCAUUUAGAGGUAUCUCUCGUUGUCCACGGCCUGAAGCACUAAAUAUAAUGACUUGAUAGUCUUCACUAUCUUCUUGUGCUGCCAGAAUAUUUGCCUCGUCACUAAGUCCUCGACAAAUGCUCUCCUCAGUGCCGACCUUCACAAAUCUGCUUUCCUACCAUUCAGGAUUGACUAGUUUCUGAUGUAGGACGCCUUUCUCUCAAGAAGGCUAUCAAGUGCAACGUAGUUAGUAGUAAACCAUGUUACCCCUAGUCUUAAGAUCUUUCUUUGCAUACCUCAUUAGUGAUAGUUGCAUUUUUGGCCGGGGGGGGUUUGAAAGAGAGUUGAACGGAGGCCUGAGAGUUUCUUAGGGCUUUCCAACAUUCCAUCGUAUAAAAGGAGGAGAGGGGGAGAACCAGUUCGGAGCCGACCGGCUGGUUGGCACUGGUUACGCGUGAAACUAGCCGAAACUGGCCGGUUUGGACUGAUUCUGUCCAGUUCAUGACCGGUUCCGACCGGUUCAGGUUCGAUUCCAAACCCUACAGGCAAACCGAUCCAGUCCCGCACUGGGUCGGCUCGAUAUGGCCCAGUUCGGCAGACACUAGAAAAACUAAUCUGCGCUUAAUCUAUUAAUACUCUAUUAGUAUACAAUAUGAUUAGACAAAUGUUAAUAUAUUAAUGAAACACUGUAUAUUAAUAUUAUAUAAUGUUGUAAUAAGAUUAAUAUAUUAAUAAUCUACUAAAACUGUUAUAUUAAUUACUUUAUUGAUAUUAGUUUAUUAAUAGUACAUUAGUUCUCUUUUAUGUUAACAUAUUUAUUUUAUAUUCAAAUGAAAUACUGAAAGGGCAAUUUAUCCAAUUCACAAAAGAAUAACCUUUUCUCUGUUCUUAUCCUCAUACAAUAUCCAAACAACAGUUUCUUAUCCUCAGACAACUUCGAAACAAUAAACAAUAAAACCGCAAUCAUUACUUGGGAUAUAAUUUCACUCAAGCAGAAAUAAGUCCCUUUCAGAUAAACCUACCCAAAAUUAAAUCUUCCUCUUAUAAAGCCUAUUUUUAUCCCAAAAUUUUCCCUUUCCAAACUGCUCCUUGAAAGAUACAAGACUACCUUUUGCUACUUGUACCAUCUGUGGGAAAUGAUCAAUUAAUUGAAGAAGUUAACAUUACUUGCUAUUUUGUUGGUAAUGUUAAAUUAAAAUUCUUUUGACAGGAUGGCAUUCCCAGGACAGCAUAUAAAGGAGUUGUAGUGUUCCGGCAUCAAACUUCAAGGCGAAUAUAUCUUGUGGGCCCAGAUUCUCUCAAGCUACUUGGGCUAGAGCAUUCUUGAAAAUAAUCACAUCAUUGGUUUGUUUGAGGUGUUGCUGAUAGUUUUUCUUUCUUACGUUAAAAAAUUUUGAUUAAGUGUUCUCUUUGUAGAACUCAAGAUCAUAAGAUAUAGAGUAUAGGAAAUAUCAAUCAGGUUCAUUUUCCUAAUUGAGUAUAAGGUGGAAGCAUGUCAAAAGAAGCUCAAGUUCAUUUAGAAGACAAAAAAUACCAAGAAAGAAAAAUAGUUGAUAUAAUUGAAGGACUGAUAUAGAGAUGCUCAGACAACACAAACAUAAUUUAACGGCCAGCCGAACCAAAAGAGAUUCUUAUCAAACAUGCAUAUUUUUCUUGUUUGUCCUGUCUAGUCUUUGCCAUGUAAUUUUAACAUUCGCAUGUCACAGCAUAGCCCACAACUGGGUAAUCUACUGGAUGUAGGCUUACUGAUGAAUGUUGGAAGAAAAUGUAACAAUGGCACGUGGGAUGCAAAUUUAUACCAUGACGUCUAUUUCAUGAUCAGGCUAAAAUUCUAAAUGACGGUGCAGUAAUUUCUCUAUUGCUUUGUAUUAUGCAUAACUUUUUCUUUAUGACAAAACAAGCUUGGUCACGUUGGAAAAGUUGGAAAGUUCUGUUGUUCUUCUAAGUUUAUUUUAUAUUAUGCUUGUGAGUUUGUUGUGGUUUGAAUGCCAGCAUCAGAAUAUCCAAUAGUUGUAUGUACAUAUGAAGUUUGAGAGACUAAACUGCAAGUCUUAUCAGGUCAUAAUGUAAAUUUCAAUUUCUGUAUUCUUGAUAAUACACUUUUCAUAAAUUCUAUGGCCAAUGCUCUAGGCUAUGGUUCAUGCAAGAUUUUGUGGCUGUCAAUUGUCCACUUUUGUAGCUAAGAUGUGCAUACAACCAGACUUGAAAACCAUCUCAGAUUUGUUUGGCGAACAUGAGAAAGAACAAGCUAAAUCAUGGAUCAAUAAUUUUUGCAAUGUCAGCAUCAGACUUAGCCAACAAUGAUCAGCUAUGCAUACUUGACACAAAGAAGAAUGCUGGCUUCGGUUGACAAAAAUCAAUUCCCUGACAUACUGUAUGGACUUGUCCAUGAGUCGGUGCAGAGGUUUGGUUCAGGUGGCUCAAAUUCCUUGCUGCACUUCAUGAUGGCUAUAUACAUCUUUACUGAAUUUGUCAGAGUGGAGAAUCCAAGUGUCUUGAGCAAGUCAGAAGGUAGGCGAGGAGAUUGGGGGCUGGUUUUAUAGUUUGAAAAUUCAGACGUCCUCCAACUUUGGAUGGUUCAGUCUGCUCUUUUCUUAAUGCCAGAUGGUAUUUCUGAUAUUCCUGAUACCGGCUGCAAUCUUCACAGUGAGGCCUGGUUCAAUUGAAAAUGACAAUGAACAGUUUGUUACUCUAGCAGCUUCAGACAGUCUCAAAUGUUGGAAAAUGUUAUUGAACACCACUGUCAAUCAUAGUAGCAGGAUUCUUGAAUUGUUGGUACUGGUGGAGAAAGCAAUGCAAUAUUUGUAAUAGGAAUUAUAAAGAAUAAAGUAUGGACUAAGAUUAAGGUUAUUAUUGUUGGGAAAAUAAUUAUGUGUUACUUUAUCCAUAAUAUCAUUCUCAUUUAGCGCCAACAAUCCCAAAAAUGGGAAGGUGGACUGAUGUUAGGUUGACGACUGGUAGCUAAGGAUGUUACUAUAUAAGUAUAUAAUGAAUCAAAAUUUUAUAGUGAAGAUAUGAAGGUGUAUGAAAUAAUUUCGAAACGGCCUGAAUAAGAAUGUUUUGAACAAAUCUUGAUGGUUAUGGUUAGGGUGGUAUUCUGCAUUUUCAGGAAUUAGUUGUUGAAGAAAUCCCUCGACUUCUCUGGUUAUUGAUCUUUUUCUCUUAAGAUAACAAUGGUAGCAUGGUCAAAAUAAAUACCCAGGUACAGUAGAUUGUAAACAUCAGCAUCAGCAGCCAAAUCCUGGACCUCCUCAAGUUGCUUUUUUCAAAGUUUUGUUGAUUAUUUGCACAUAUUAUGCAUAAAUGUAUUUGAUCUUAAAUGGAAAAAUAGGUUAAGUGAUGAUGCAGAAAUUAUUUUAUAGUUUUGCAUAUGAAUAUCAUAUAGAAUUUGAUUUGUAUAAAAAAUAUGGUUGGCCUGCUAUCAAGGCACAAUAGGCCACCUUAAAGCCCGUGACACCAAGAUACAAUAACCCUUCAAGCUUAUAGCCAUGUUCGUUGUCUUCUUUCUGUAGUGGUAAAGCAGCCACAAAAGGACUCUUACAUAGACUUUCAUAUUGUAAUGCUAGGCCUCGAUAGUGUGGAAAGAAAUAUCCUCCUUCUGAUCCCACCUCUAUUAAUGUGCCAAAAAAAAAUUCAAUAGCCCUCCAACGUUAAAAAAAGAAAAAAAAAACAGACAACCAACUAGUUAAGAGAUGGGAAUAGAGUAAGAGGAAAAGAUAUGUCAAGUUCUAAAAUCCCCAACAAGGUUCCAAAGUUUUUUAAAUAGAGAAAAUAACUUCCUCUAUAACUUAUACUGUGUAACAGGUCUGUCUUCGUGAGUUAAACCUACACUUGGUUUUGAUAGUUUCCAUAUGAGGAACAAUAAGUGAACUGUAGUGAACUAAGUCUUAAACUAGAUCCUUCAGCCAAACUUUUACUAGCCACACAUGCAGUACAAAUGUUUGAUCAGGUUCAAGCAAGUAAUGCUAUUUACAGCUAGAUGUGUGAUCAAGUUCAAGAAGGUAAUGCUAUUUAUAUUCAUGUGCUGAUAUCUUGAAUUUUUAUGAGAGUUUCUAGAGAACAGCCCAAUCCUUAUAGUUGUGGUCUCAUCACAAUUCUCAAGUGAGUCCUCCGGGAGUACUCUUGACUAAUAUAUCGUAGAUUUCUGUCUUGGGAUCAUUCAAAGUUAGUAACUCUUUCUAAACCAUCGCAUAGAGCACUAUCGUUAUAAGGAUAGGGAGGAGAAUUUCUUUGGAACUUAGUUCUCUAUCAAAUUAUCAUGCCUCAGACUUGUCACCUAGGUCGGCUACAAUACACGGCCGUGUGAGCCCUUGAGUAAUGCUCUAGAGAUCAUGCAAGGCCUAUAAAUUCUAUACAACCUUUUCAUCACUGGAUAACAAUGAUCUUAAUUCACAUCAAAAUAGUUCCAUCAUCAACAAAUAACAAAAUUAUCCAAUUACCAAUUUAGCUAUUUGACGGGUAUUCGUGAUGCUCUAGCUAUUCAUUCAGUCACCAAUGAUUCCAAACCCCUGUCAAGCACAAAGCAUCCUGUGACUCUAAAAGAAAAAGAAAAGAGGUGGUGUGAACUUUAUAGCCUAAUAAGAAUCCUUCAUGCACAUACACCAUCAUGAAUAUAAAAACAUCUUUUAGCAAAUAUAUAGCUUAUAGGAAAAUAAUAAGAUUCAUACAUUAACAAUCUGAUAGUUAAAUAAUGCUUAACGGAUCCAAUAUAUAUUUAUAAAAAACCAUAUAAACCAUGCCAGCACACAUCAAGUUUUAACCAUAUAGCAACUUGUUUACUUACAUAUCACCAUAAUAGGAGUCUCAAGAUACAUAUCAUAUAUCACUAUAGUUUUGUUAAACUUAUCAUAUAUCAUCGAAAUAGUAACUCUAUUUAAUAGUAAUUUAGUGAGAUUCAUUAACUGGUUAACACAGUUUGGAUCUUGAUAAUAUUAUCAAUUCUAGCACUAGACUAGUCUCGCAUAUGCUCCAGCCUAUGGUAGGCCAAACAUAUGCACCAUAUUUCCGUCUGUGGCCAGUAACUACACUAUUGCAUCUCAACCUGCAACUGAUAUUACAUAUAUCACGUUUCACACGUACCGGCUAAUCUAGAUGCCCCUCUUUUCCUCUAAUCUUAUAGUUAAGCAACAUUCAAUUAAACAUAAUUUAUUAUCUUGAUUUAAUUUUGACAUUGGACUAGUCACAACCAUGCCCAGCCCGUGGUAGUGCAAACAUAUAUCAUUCUUGUGCUCAUGGCCGGUAAUCACAAUAUCUUAUUUUAGCCCAUAGAUGAUACACCAUGUCUCACUCAAGGCUAACUAGUCCAAAUGCCUCCUUUUUUUCUCCACUCUUACAAUUAUGAAAAUUAAGCUUAAUUAUGUAUUAACUAUAAUUAAGUGAAGUUCUUAAUCUAGAAUUGCUUUUUUUGACAUUGGACGAGUUAUAGCUAUGCUCUAGCACGUGGUAGGCCAAAUAUAGUAUUGCACCUUAGCCUAAGGCUGCUAUAGCAUAUACACCAUGUUUCUGGCAUGGCCAACCAAUCUGGAUGACUUCCAUGCCCCAUUAUACAAUCAUGAUUUCCUUUAAUCAUUUACACUCUGGAUGAUUACAAUACUUAAGCACAAAAUAGUAAGUUUUAUACAAUGUUAGAGUAAGUAACAUCAUACUCCAAACAACAUCAAAUGAUUUGCACAUAACACACCUUCCAACAUAUAUAAAAUACUUGCAAUCAUAUAGACNNNNNNNNNNNNNNNNNNNNNNNNNNNNNNNNNNNNNNNNNNNNNNNNNNNNNNNNNNNNNNNNNNNNNNNGGUAUUACAUAGGAAUUAUUUAUUUUAAUCAGCAAUAUAUGAUACAUUUAUGUAUAAGAUUGUCCAUAAUCAUAUAGAUAAUUGUGUUGAUGGAUUCUUACCUAUAAGAGUGACCGACUCGACACGGGGUAUACCAACCCACUUCUUAAUUAAGUACUAGAGAAAAAUACCUUGCUUAAUGCUCUCUUAUACAGAUGAUUUUUUCCCUAUAGAAUAAAGUCAAAACAUCACAAUAAAGAUCACGAAGUAGUUCAACAACCUAGAACCCUCUACUGAAAUGUUCUAGGGGUUCAUCAUUGAGUUCCUUGAAUCCCUUCAUGAAAUCCUACUGAUCAACUAGAGAGAGAAGAAAGAGGAAGGAAGAGAGAGAAAUAAAGAAAAAGAGUAAAAAGAGAACAGCACAAGAACUAUGAAGGUUCUAUCUCUCUUUCUUCAAAAUAGAGGAAGGGGAAGAGAGGGAUUGUCUAGCUAUUGUAGUGGCUGGAGGCAUGAUCCACAAUGGUCGUUGGCUGCGGCAUCAACGAACAAUGGUGGUUGGCUGGCAGAGAGAAAACAGAGAAGAAUAAUAGGAAGACAAAGCUCAACUGAAACAUAAAAAAAAUCAGCUCUGUUCAUAGCCAACCCACUGGCCGACGGUCAUGCCUCAUUGUGCAGCCACGGAGCACUCAAGAAAAUGGUGAUGGUCGGUCCAAACAAAUGGUCGGCGGAGGUGGAUUGUAAAAUAGAGGAAAGAACCAAAAAUAGGAGGGACCCUAUUUCAAAAGAGAUCCGACGACUUGUCGGCCUAAAUCUGAGUAAUAUUGAUGUCUUAGGAACCAAAAAAGAGAGGAGAAAAAGAACGAGCGGUCCUUACCUCGAGGUAUCAACAGUUUUCAUGCAAGUUCUCUCGAUGAAGACCCAAGGAUUCUCAGUGAAAAGCUCAAGAACAGUAACUAUAUAUAGAAGGAGAAUUUUCGAUGGAGUAUCUAGAGGUGGGUGGAAGGGUGAUUUAUCAUAAUUUUUCUAGGGUUUUUUGGAGUCUGGCAUGCCCUCAAAUCCUUCCUUCCACUGAAAUUGCAGGAGAGAAGAAAAAAUAGAUUUCCAUCGGGAGCCUUUCUCCCCUCACAUACGUAAUGGAUGUGCUAUAGGCCAAGUGCAGUCCAAGCCAACAUCGGACUAGGUCAGGCCAAUAAAAUUUUGGUUCAUCAUCACACAAAUUACGUAAUUGAUUUGUUUCCAUCCAUUGAAUCCUCUUCAUAGGAUCUCCAACAAUGAAAGUUGUGUUUCAACUGUAGGUGACUCCCUUAUGCAUUUAACCCUAUCACCUCGAUGAUUUAGGACCGCAUUCCUAUGAAGUCCUUUCAUCAAUUGAUCAAUAAUAUUCUUCUCAUAUCUCACAAAGUUAAGAAAAAUAACUUUGUUAGUAAGACUUUCACAGGCUUAAAUCCAACAAGUAUGUUGAUUGAUCUUUUUGUUUUCAUACUUUGAUUUAUUAAAUCAACCAAAGCUUUACAAUCACAAUUAAUAAUAGUUGGAAUAAUUCUACUAACUAAAGUAAUCUCAAAUAAUAAAUUUCUUAAUCUCUUAGCUUCUUUACAAGUUGUAUCUGAAGCUAUGAUCUUAGCCUACCUAAUGUUUUGGACUUCACAGUUUGUUUGGUUGAUCCCCAUGAGAUAGUAGCUUUUCCUAGGAUAAACACAUAUAUAAUAGCAGACAUAAUGUUAAAGUAUCGGCAAUCCAAUUUACAUCAUUGAAACCCUCCUAAAUAGUAGAACACAUUACAUGGCUCCCUUCAAGUAUUCAAAUAUUGUCACCAAAGCAAUCGAAUACUCUAUACUAGGAUUAGAAGCAUUAAAAACACUUAUAGCAUAGGCUAUAUUUGGUCCGGUCCUAUUGAUUAUAUAUAAGAAAGAUUUUUAUUAUGUUUGCAUAUUUCAACUGAGAUACAGAUUCUCCUUGUUUCUUCUUCAAAUACAUACUAGAUUCAUAGGGUGUAGAAACAAGUUUAUAAUCAAAGUAGUUGAAUUUCAUCAACAUUUUCCAUAGUAAUAAAUUGAUAUAAAGCUAUCUCUUCUAAAGCUUUUAUUAUUUUCAUUCCUACGAUAGCAUCUACUUAUCAUAGAUCCUUCAUCUCAAAGUUCUUCGACGGGUAUUGAUGAGAGCACAAAAGUGCAAUCAUCGUACCACCUUAAUUAGUAUUAUAGUUAAUUUUUAAUGAUAAAAUUAAUUAAUUAAUAUUGUAUUUGUGUUUGAGUGCAAGGAGUCCAAGAGACCCAAUAACAUUGGGUUUGAGCCCAAUGCCUGGCAGCUCGAGUUCAACAAAUUCCCCAGCUGCCAUGCAAGCAUGAAAUCCUGCGCCGUCCAUCAAGUUACCUACCAAAUCAGUCCCGCAUCAAGGCCCCACGAUCAUUUUCUUCUCGGCCAUCUGCCCAGCCAAUCAUCAACAUCCCAAAUAAAUUCAUUCUGUCCGCAUCGUCAACGAGUCCUCCUAGCAUCCCACGGAUCACGCCGUCAUCACAGCCGUCCAUCUCGUGAUCAGAUCAAGCUCCCACGCAUGUGAAGCAUGUGUGCGUUCCCACCUUCCUUCACAGCAGUGGCAUCCGUCCCAGCUUCAUCCCGUGCGAAAGAAAGGGAGAAGAAAGGAUUCAUCCCAUCCGCAUUCCUCUUCCGGCUUCCCGUGAUCCCGCCUCACAGAGCCGUGCGCCCAUUCUGAAAAACCAAGCAUCGCAUCCCAGCGCCCGGAUCCAAGCCUCCCGUGAUGCUAGCAGUGGUCCCACGGCAGCCUCCGCCUCAGCCCGCCAGCCCCUCCUUCCGUCCGACGCAGCAUCCACGUCUUCUUCCUCCCGUCGAUCACGUUCCCAGCCGGCCGUGAUCAGCGAUCCAGCCUCCUCCCAGCGCCCGGAUCUCUUCCAUGAUCGGCUCCUUACAGCAGCAUCUCCUCCGCCUCAGCCCGCAUCUCCUUCCUUCCGCGAUCGCACCAGCCUGACCCGAAGAAGCAAGGCCACGUCCUCCUCACAGCCGUGGCAUCCAUCCCAGCUCCUUCCACAUCCUCCGCAAUCCACCCAGCCGUCCGCAUCCGUGAUCCAAGCAACCCGGACGAUCGCCUCCUCCCAGCGAUCUUGCGUCCGUUACCUCCUCCCGGCGUUUUCAGCCUCUCCCGUUGUGGAUGACGCGUUCGGAUCCGCCCCACAGAUCACGCUCGCCCGUUUCUCCUCCUCUCCAUGCUGUGGCGUCUAUGCAGUCCAAGCCAACAUCGGACUAGGUCAGGCCAAUAAAAUUUUGGUUCAUCAUCACACAAAUUACGUAAUUGAUUUGUUUCCAUCCAUUGAAUCCUCUUCAUAGGAUCUCCAACAAUGAAAGUUGUGUUUCAACUGUAGGUGACUCCCUUAUGCAUUUAACCCUAUCACCUCGAUGAUUUAGGACCGCAUUCCUAUGAAGUCCUUUCAUCAAUUGAUCAAUAAUAUUCUUCUCAUAUCUCACAAAGUUAAGAAAAAUAACUUUGUUAGUAAGACUUUCACAGGCUUAAAUCCAACAAGUAUGUUGAUUGAUCUUUUUGUUUUCAUACUUUGAUUUAUUAAAUCAACCAAAGCUUUACAAUCACAAUUAAUAAUAGUUGGAAUAAUUCUACUAACUAAAGUAAUCUCAAAUAAUAAAUUUCUUAAUCUCUUAGCUUCUUUACAAGUUGUAUCUGAAGCUAUGAUCUUAGCCUACCUAAUGUUUUGGACUUCACAGUUUGUUUGGUUGAUCCCCAUGAGAUAGUAGCUUUUCCUAGGAUAAACACAUAUAUAAUAGCAGACAUAAUGUUAAAGUAUCGGCAAUCCAAUUUACAUCAUUGAAACCCUCCUAAAUAGUAGAACACAUUACAUGGCUCCCUUCAAGUAUUCAAAUAUUGUCACCAAAGCAAUCGAAUACUCUAUACUAGGAUUAGAAGCAUUAAAAACACUUAUAGCAUAGGCUAUAUUUGGUCCGGUCCUAUUGAUUAUAUAUAAGAAAGAUUUUUAUUAUGUUUGCAUAUUUCAACUGAGAUACAGAUUCUCCUUGUUUCUUCUUCAAAUACAUACUAGAUUCAUAGGGUGUAGAAACAAGUUUAUAAUCAAAGUAGUUGAAUUUCAUCAACAUUUUCCAUAGUAAUAAAUUGAUAUAAAGCUAUCUCUUCUAAAGCUUUUAUUAUUUUCAUUCCUNNNNNNNNNNNNNNNNNNNNNNNNNNNNNNNNNNNNNNNNNNNNNNNNGGUAUCCUCACAAUAUUUAGGUUUGUCCUAAAACCAAAAUGUCAUCAACAUACAAACAUAAGAUGACUCAUUCACUCCCUAUUACCUUAUUGCAUACAAAUUUCUCAUACUCAUUAACUAUAAAGCCAUAGGAUAUGAUAAUUUAAUAAAUAUUUUCACCAGUAUUUAAGGACCUAUUUAAGUCCAUACAAUGACUUCACCAACUUGCAAACUUUCUUUUCUACCCUCUUAUCAAAGAGACCCUUCAAGUUGUUCAACAUAAAUAUCCAUAUCUAGUUCACCAUUGAAGAAUAUUAUUUUAAUAUCAAUUUGGUGAAUAACUAACUUAUAAGUUGAUGCUAGAGCUAGUAAGCUUUUAAUGGUAGACAUUCUAGAUAUUGGAGAGUGGUACGUAACAAAGUAAUUUAUCCAUUUCUUCUGGAUAAAACAUUUGGCUAAUACUCUAGCCUUAUAUUUUUCUAUACUACCAUCAUGUCUCAACUUUUUCCAAAAUACUUGCUUACACCCAUAUAAAUUUAUUCUUUUGGAAUAAUUAAAGUCCAAAUGUUGCUCGCAGUAAGUAAUUGAAACUCAAAGUUAAUAGCAUCCCUCCAAAAAGGUGCAUCCAUGGAAGGCAUAUCUUCUUCAUAAGUUUUAGGUUCACCUUCUACAAAAUGAUGAAAAACUCUUCACCAAAAGUUCUUUUGAACUCUAGCUAUCUUACUUCUUCUAUAUUCAAAUUCAAGUUCAGGUUCUAAAUGUCUAAUGAGCUACUAGUGGGAAUAGAAAAGGGUUGACUAUAGACAUAGCUUGGAAUUUUAAUUGUAAAAAGAAUAUCUUCUUGUCACUUCUAUAAUACAUUAUUGGCUACUUCACCAAUUAUACAUCCACAAAAGUUGCAUUCCCUUGUUUGUCAAGCUAGUUUUAUUCGAUCCAAAGCAAACUAUUUUCUUUUUAGUUGUACAUAUGGGGGAAUCUUUCAUUACUAUUUUAGUUUACAUUGAUGACAUUAUUGUAGCUAGUAAUGAUGGCAAUCAUUACUAGAUAUUGGAGUAGGGCAUCAGGCACAGGUUGGAGAGCUGGCAGACGGGCGCUCUGUCUAUGAUAGACAGAGUCAUCCUGGUACGGUCUGUUCUGAGCUCGAUCCCUGUCUAUUUGCUUUUCCACACUAUGGUGCCACUUGCAACGCUACAGUAUAUGGAGCGACAGUUCAGGAGUUUCCUUUAGGGGUGACAUGGGGCAGGAGCGGUGUUCAUCUGCUGGCCUGGGAGACCAUUGUUAGCCGACCAGUAGUGGGAGAUUGGGAGUCCACUCCUUGAUCGGGCGAUGGAAGAUCCUUGCGACUAGAUUAGCAGCCAAAUUUUUUCUAGAGCCGAGAUGUCUCUGGGGUGCCUUGAUGAGGGCUAAGUAUGGGGAUUCGACCGAUCCGACUGUCUUCCGUACUAGCCAUCGUAGCUCUUUCAUCUGUAGAAAGAUCUGCGCCCAUGCCCUAGCAGUCUUACCGGAGAUCAGAUGAGAGAUCGGAGAUGGUCGGGCUAUUGAUGGCUUGGAGGACAGGUGGCUCUCUGAAGUGCCACUUCGCUGCUGGCUUACCCUGAUCGACGUUAGAUGCCUGGAGGGGUGUCGAGUCUGUGACUUAUUUACCCUUAGUAGGCGGGCAUGGGAUGAGGACCUUGUCUGACAGGCCUUUGGGGAGCGUUUGGCCAAGCGAGUCCUAUCCUUGCUGAUUCUUACUGUGGAGGCUACAGACAUGAGGGUCUGGAGCACGAUCGGAAGAUCAGAGGUGAAGGCCCGUGACUUAGUCCGAGUGGUCAGGAGAUCUUCGGCUCGAUAGAUUGAGAGGACCUGGAUCUGGAGGCUUCAUAUUCACCCACAAGUCGUCUUAUUCGUCUAAAAGGUGGCUUGGGGUUGUUUGCCUACUGGAGGCAUACUGGCACGGUGAGGGAUGCACAUCUCUCCGAAGUGCCCAGAUUGCCCAAGGGGGGAGGAGUCUAUUUUUCAUGUCAUCAUCGGCUGCCCGAGGACCGCACAGAUUUAGGGUGCGUCUCGAGCCCCCACAACCCAUGGCAGGGGUGGUCAUCGACCGAGAAUUUUCUACUCUUUCUGAAGUCUUCAUCGUGGAGGCUUGGCCUUGAAGGACUUGGGGUCAGGGCUGCCUACUUGGCUUACCACUGCUAGCUAAAUAGAAAUGCCCGGGUCUUCGAGGAUAGCAGAGCGCAUCAUCUGAGGUCGGUAGUGGACAGGGCUCUUCUUCAUGCGGCGGAGGUCACCUGUGCCACCACACUGUCGUCUCUUGGGACAGUUGGAGAAAUAUGUGACUCCCCUUUUGCUCUUGCAACGUCCAGAACCGUGCUCGUCUCCUAGGAGCCCCCACCUCCAAGCUUUUUCAAGAUGAAUUUUGAUGGUAGUGUUUAUGAGAAAGGGUGCACUGGAGGCAUGGAUUUUGUCUUUAGAGACUAUGAUGCCAGACUGAUAGUGGCCGGAGGCCGACGGAUCUUCAAUACGCCUGUAGUCGGUGCUGAGCUUAGAGCUGCAUGGGAUGGAGUCACCUAUGUGAGGCGGGUACUGGGGCAGACCACAUUCUUCUUGAGAGAGACUCGGCCAUGGUGAUUGUGUAGAUUCAGGGUCGGAGACUCGACGCGGGUUCUAGUCCACUGCUAUAUGAUAUUCGCAUGCUCUUAGAAGGUAAAUAGUGCGGCUGAUUGGGAGGCCUCAUCUGCGGCUCACCAUUCUGGAGGCUUCAUCUAGCUUGAUCUCGUGUCGGUGCCUCACCCUUUGUGUUAUCCUUUUUUUUUUGUUGACUACACCCACGCCUGGCGUGUGUGAGCUGCCGUUGUACAAAAAAAAAUGAUGGCAAUCCAUUGGUACUCCCAAAGCCUUCGAAAAAGAUUUCACAUCAAGGAUCUCGUGCCACUUAAAUACUUUCCUAGGAUUAUGGUUGCUUGCUCCAAAGAUGGUAUUCACAUCUCACAGUGAAAGUAUACAUUGUACCUUCUUGGUAAUAGGUUUUCUUGAUACACAUCUUGCUUUCUCAAUGGAGCAAAAUAUGAAACUAACUGAUAGUGCUAGUGAACCAUUAUGAGAUCCUUCACCAUAUCAUCAUAUUGUUGGCCAUUUCAUCUACCUUACUAUUAGUCAUCCAAAUAUUAUUAACCCUAUUCACAUCCCUAGUAGAUUAAUUUACCACCAUCCUCCACCCAUAUAAUCGUCUCUUGCCUGCUACAAUAUAGUUCUUUCACUAUCUAAAACAAUCAAUUGGUCAAAUUCUCCCUUUUUUAAUCUCAUAGCCCUCUUCACCUAAAGGAAUUUUGUGUUACCCUUUGACUUGCCAAUUCACUUAGACUAAUGUGUUACAUUGGUCACUCUCUCGUCUCCCAAAAAACCAAGUGUCAAGUAAUUGUUUCUCACUCUUCUAUUGAAGUAGAACACUAUGCCAUGGCUGAGUCAAUUUGGCUUCUAUAGUUAGUGCAUGAUUUGGGCAUUGCACACACCUACCUAGCACUUCUAUUUAGUGACAAUCAAGAUGCACUUUUUAUAUUGCUGCCAAUCUUUUUUUUAAUGAGCAUACUAAAUACAUUGAGCUUGAUCAUCAUCUUAUUCAAGACAAAAUCCGCUUGGGCUUGUUAAGGACAAUAUAUAUUUCUAAUACCAAUUAGCUCGUUGAUCUAAGCUGAAAAAGAAUCGAAUACAGAUCGGAUAUUAGUAUAUUUAUAUCUGUAUCUAUUUAUAUUUGAUGAAUACGGACAUGAAUAUAGAAGUUAAUUGGAUGCAAAACUAUAUGUCCUUAAUAGAUACAUAACAUAAGUAUGGAUGUAAAUUGAUCACAGAAUAGAAGGUAAAUUAAGUUAGCAACAUGUUAAUAUUAUCAUUUAUUUAUCUUAAAAGUUUACGAAUGCUAUAUAAAUUUAAAUAGAAUUACAUACAGAGUCGGAUAUUUGGAUAUAGAUCAAAUGGUUGUCUAUCAAUGUGUGUAUAUGUUUUCUUUGAUAGAUAUGGAUACUAAUAUAGAUAGUCUAGAUGCUCAAAUUUAUAGGUAUAUCUAGAUAGAUUUGGUUAUGAAUAUGGAUCAUGAUGAAUAUUAUCUAAUCCAUUUUCAUCCUUAGGUUGAUAUACUUACUAAAAUACCUUGCAUGAAAUAGUUUCAUUAAUUACUUGGCAAGCUAGAUAUUUAUUAUGUUCACACUCCCAUUGGAGACUGUUACUGUUAGGCAAGAAUCUUGCCACAUUAGGUUAGCCAAAUAGCCAACUAAAGCAGACAAUGGAUCAUAUGUUAGGUCAACUAUUAUGAUAUAGUUUAUCAUAUGUCUUUUAAAUAUUGUAUAAUGUCAUUCUUGAACAUUUUAGGUAGGAGAUCAAUAUCAUGUUCAGUGGUAGUAUCCCAUUGAAUAAAGGAUUUGAGCUAUAUAUAUAUAUUUAUAUAUGCAUCUCAUAUUGAAUGGAGAAUAAAUUUCAAAUUCAACUCUACCUUUUGUUAAAUGAGGGGUUAAUGUGAGCAAAUAAACAAGAGAAAAGGAUUUGAGAAAAAGCAACAAAUGGGUUGGUAAUUAAUGUUAUAUUUACCAAGUCUAAUGGAAAAAAAAUGUUAGAGUGGGGGGAUGAUGUGGCAAACUAUAGGUCUUGGGGAAGUUAAUUUACUAAAUAUGGUCUGAAAACUGGGAAGGUCCUUCAAUAAAACAUUUUAAAAAUGUAUAUAUUUUCAAAGAAAUUUUUUUUUGUGAGAGAGAUGUAUAAUGAAAGUGCGACCUUUUUAUGUCAAACUUACCUUCCUAUGUCAAUCUUAGAACAUUUCUACUCAGAACCUUCCUUGACUAAACACACUUCAUUAAUGAAAGUAUAUCUUUUCUUUUUAAGUAUUUCAUAAUAUAAACAAAGUUAUUGCACAUAAGCAUCCAAAGUUUCAAAUACAUAUCUUGACUUUUUCAAAUCUAAAACUUAACGAAAAUGACAUCCCAUAUAAUAACUAUUUAUUGAACUUUGAUUGGAAAUAUACUUGGAACUCAAAGGAAAAAACGUACAUGCACAUUCUUUUAAAAGUCUAUAUAUCGCAUGAAUACACUAAAACUUUGUCAUGCAAUGGACAAUAAGGAAGAAAUUGUUCAUCUAGCUAGUUGCAAUAUAUUUUGAAAACACCAAGUUAAUUAUAACUCCCAUCUCCCUUUGCCACGAGAUUUUCUUCUUCUCAUUAAAGAUGAUGGCAGCAACAAAAUUACUAGUAUUUACUGAAUAAGAAAAAAAAAGCUGAAACAUAGAUUUGCAUUUAGUAAAUAAUAUUUCAUUUAUAGGAGAAAUAAAAGAUUAAAUAACAAUCUCCUUCUCAAUGUGCAAUGGUUGUCGUAUUAAUAAAACCAUGAGAAAAUGAUUGUUAUUUGAUUAAAUUUGCACUAGUUGCAUUUAUAUUCCAAUGGAGGCCUUUGAAAUAGCUACCAUCUCAAAUAUAAAUUUAUAAUGAUAGGACAAUCAUUAUUUUUAUCUCGUCUUUCACGGUACUUCCUCUUUUUUUUCGUUUUUCUUAUUUUUUCUUUCCUCCAUUAUUCAUGUACCACUCUUCCACAACAUGUGACCAGAGUUGAUGUUGGCAUAUUAUCCUGAAUUGGGGUUGUAUCUUUUGCAUGAGAGAAAGGAUUCACCUUCAUGCAUACCUACUGCUAGAUCACCUAUUGUAUAAAUCUCAAAGUACUUCAAAUUUAAUAGUAUACCUAUCUGCAUAGAUUUUAAAAUAAUUAGCAGAUGAUCCAAGGAUGAUUUCUACGAAAAAUCCACCCCCGAACCCACCAACCUUUAGACUUUUAUUAGAUUUCUCAACGAGACGGAGUACCACCUGUACAAAAUCCGAUGAAUAAAGCUGCAUUGAAUAAAACACAAAUUUACGCUGGGAAAUCAACUCAUGCCUCGUCUAGACGUCAGAAUGUUCGAAACGAGCCAAGAAAGAACGCGCAAAAGGGUAGCGGUAACGGUCAAGGUUUGAGAAAAGCAACCGUUACGGACCGUCAUGACGGUUUCGAGCCCUCUUAAUUCUAACGUUUCCAGGUUUGUUUCCAUGAUAACGGUAAAUAAGAUCAUGGCAAUUAUAAAUCCGCCUCGUUACUUAUCAUUUGAACUGUUUUUCAAUAAAAUAAUAUUUUUUCCAAAAUUCUAAUUCAUUAGUCUUUCUAUAAAUAGUGGUUUGAAAAAAUAUAUUAUUAUACUAAAUUAUUAAUGCUAAAUAACUCCAAAUAAGGAUAAAGCAAUGCUAUUAAGAACAUUAUAGAGGUUAAUAAUGGUUUUUGGUAGUAAUAAAAUAAUGCCAUUAUUUAUUUAUUUAUUUUUUUAUUAAAAUAAAUGGAUCAAAAAAUAAAAUAUUUUGAAGUGUCAAAAAUAACUCUCCACCUCUAAUCUAUAGAGUAUUAUUGGAGUGACUAACUAUACAAUCAGCCAAAGAAUAACGCGGUUAUUUGAACGCUGGUAAAGGUUGGCGUGAAACGGCGGUAAAAGUCGUAACGAAACAUCGCCGCAGCCUAUCCGUUUGGCGGCGGCAAUCACCCACUCUUUUUCCCCACGCGCUGUCUCUCUGUCUCAUCCCUUCGCUUCUCUUCGCUGGUCUUUGGACGACCCCACCCAGCAUCGAGUCAAAGCCCUCCCCCCGACCCCCACUCUGUUUCCUCGCCGCUUCUUCUCUCUCUUUGAUCGCUUCUAUCCUUGCGUCCAUCUCCCCGCGUUUCGUCUCUCGUCGCUUCUUCCUUCGAGCGCCCGAGGAGUUCGAUCGCUCGGUGGGGCAAGGAGGGCGCCGUCCGCGGGAGCGCCAGCGGGGCGGAGCAUGGGCGGCGGCAAAUUAGGGUUUCCAAGGGAAGAUCGUCCUUAAAAGAAUCCGAAGUGGUAUGAUUCGGUUCCUUCUUCCUGUUCUUCGGCAUCUUUUUUGUUGAUUCAUUUCCAUUUUCUUGUUUGUUUUAUGGCUUAGGGUUUUCUAGUUCUAGCAUUUUGUAUUUGGAGCAGUUGAUGAUCGAUGAUUCCAAUCGAUGCGAAUCGAGAUGAAUUUUUGUGGAUACUGAUUAAUUAUCCCUUCAUCGGUGCUCUUUUUUAGAUAGAUAUCCUUAUAAAGAAGUAUCUUAAGUUGAACCAUUUUUUUUUGGGAAGUAUGGGUAUCAUGACGUCUUUGUGAUUGGUUUUGGAAGACUAAUCGCUUUAAGGUUGGUUAUACUUCUAAAAUGGUUGUUUUCUUAUGAUUAUAAGGAUCUGAUUAGUUUGUAUUUUGUAAUAGAUUAAUAUCUCUACAUCAGCCACUUGGCUGUUGCAUUCUCUCACAGGGAUGGCGCGCUGUGUCGUUCUUAUAGUUUGGUUUUCUCCAUCGAUUGUGAGUUGGAACCUGUUGAUGGCAUUUAUAGCACUUUUCUUGGGAAGCUCACGAUUCAUUAAUGUUAAAGCAUGUCAUAUUGAUAACAAUUGAAAAUCAACUGAUUUGCCAAUUGAGGAGAUACCUCAGAAUCUUCUAGGAAAACAUUUCUUUAUGGAAAAAGCAAACUAAAUUGAAAACCUUCUAAAAGUACACUAACAAAUACAUCAAGUUUUAAGGCUCCGAACAAAGGGUGAUUCCUAGAUGUUUGGAUAUCUGGAAAAUUGGUUCCAUUUUGAUACCUCACACUGGUUACAGCGUGGCCUGGUUCAUUCUAAAUUAGGAAAUAAGGUACACAAUCCCUGAUUUAUCACCUCAAUAUGGACUGAUCCUGUUGAAUGAUAUAAUCACCAGAUAGGCUGAUAAGCAACAAAACCCCUGUCAGAGAAUAACAUUGAUACCUUAGAAUUAUUGUAAAAAAAAGGAGGAUGCCAUAAGGUGGCUGGUUGUGAAUUUCUCUUGCAUCAUCAUGCACAUCCAAAGAGUUCUUGUCCUGAAUGGUUCUUGUUGAUCUAGAAUGACUUAUUUCCAGGGAAAUAGCCAUUGAUUGGACAAUGAUGGUAGAUUUUGUAAUUGUCUUGUGUCUUAUGAUUUCUUAUGUGACAAGCAUAAAGUGGCUUGCUUCAAGGAAAGCCAGGCCUCCUAAGAUGAAAUUUGUUAUAAAAAAAUAAAUACCUGCAUUCUCUACUGAUGAGUUUACUUUGGAUAUGAAAAUAGUCUUUUAACUGCAUGGCAUCAUGCAUCAUGUUCCGAAAACAAGACCAUGACAAACCCUAAACACUAUAGGCAUCACUUUGCCUAUUUAGCAUUCUGGUAGUGGCAACUGAAGUGUUCAUUGGUUGUAUGUUUUGUUUUCCCCAUUACUUAAAAAUAAUGCUUUUGGCUGUUUGGCUAGGAAUGAAAAGUGUGCCAGUUUGGUGUCUUCUAAGCUGAUCCAAAGAGAACUUUUACAUGGUCAGUGCCUUUCUUGGGCUGACUUCCAACCUGGACCAGGUUACAUCAAUUGGAAGAAAAAAAAAUCCCUGAGCUUAACCCAACCAGGCCCAACCCCACAAUAUUUCGUAGUUAGUAAUAGAGAAUUCAAGGAUAUUUUAAUGGUUCCCAAGACUCCUUUUCUAAAAGCUCAAAAUGAUUUUAAAUCAUCAGAUACCAGAUAAAUUAGUUUACUUUGAAACAGGAUAUUUGAUAGGCGAAAAAGUAAAAGUCCAUUAGUGAACUUCGAAAGCCUGCAUAACAUAUCCUAGUGUGUGUGUGUGUGUGUGUGUGUGAGAGAGAGAGAGAGAGAGAGAGAGANNNNNNNNNNNNNNNNNNNNGCAUAACAUAUCCUAUGUGUGUGUGUGUGUGUGUGUGAGAGAGAGAGAGAGAGAGAGAGAGAGAGCAAGCACUAAACUUUCUAAUGAUGUACUUGUGGAUUGUGACUGAAGGUUGCAAGCUUGCAACCAAAACUCACCAUGUCAAUCAUAAUGAAGUUGUAGAAAGAAAACCAUGGGAAAAUGUUGGUCCAGAGUGUUUGAGAAUUGGGGAUGGGAUGACAAGAAAGGGGGGAAGAGAAAGGUUUUAUGUGAUGGGAUAUAAAGAGGAGUACUGCCAUACCAAAAGAGAUUCUUGCACUCCCUUUAUGCACCAAUCAUGUACUACAUAGGCAAUGCAUAGAGGAGCCCAUGGAGUCAUCUUUUAUGAUGAAGUGGUGGAUGACUGAUUAGAUGGGAUUGUUGAGAUUCCUAGCAAGUAAAACAAUAGGAUAGGAAUAUAUUGUGCCUAGAAUCAAGAAAUUAAUUGAAUAAUCUGAUAUAGGACAAUUCAAGUAGAUACUAUGCACAUUUUAUAAUAUAUGAUCAAUGCACAUACUACAUAUAUUAUUUAUACUAUAUAUAUACAGGCUGGAGUGUUGAAGUUGGUGUUUAUAUGGGUCCAACCUAAAAGCAUAUUUAUGAGUCUAAAAUCCUCAUGCAGUACCCACUGGACAAAAAUGUUUGACCCAGCAUGACCUUUUUUCUCCUCCCAUUGACGUGAUGGACAAUCCUAAUCCAUUUUAAUUGGGCCUUUAAUUUACUUGAAGGAUCGAGAGGUUUUACAUGAAUCUCUUUGCUUUUCUCAUUAGCCUUUCAUUUGUCAUCAAUGUUGAUGAUAUAAGUAAUAUUUAGACUCUUUGAAUGUUAUAAAUUAGGUUAUUUGCUUCAUUUAGUUUCCAUUAGAAGGGCUUUUAAAAGUGUAUCGAGGCAGUUAUCAAAUUGGUGGCAGCAAUGGAGUAGGUGAUCCAAGUUGAGAGGUCUCAUAUGUGUAUUGUCUCUUUUACCGGUACCAGGACUCAAAUUCUAAAUCAAAGAUAUUCUGGACCAUGUUCUCUUCAAGAGAUGGGGUUUCUCAAAAUGGGUGGGCUGUGUAUAAACAAGUUCACAUCACUUCAGAUCAUAUUAGGCCUUUUGAGUUGGGUGGAUUUAAUUCCAAUUAAUUUCUAAAAGUAUGAUGAGGCAUAUUGCUUGCACUCACAUUUAUGGAGGACAUGUAGGGUGCAGAUAGUUAAUUGUCUUUCAUGGGAUGGGAUAUUUGAACAUGCUGUGAACUGUGGGCUGUCUACAAAUCAUGAGGGAGUGAGGACGUUAGUUGGAAAAGAUUGGGUUAGAAGUGAGCCACAUUCAUGAGGAGCUAGUUCUUUGGAAGGGCAAAGGUGCUAAUCCUACUCAUAAUGGAUGAUGAAUCAUACUCAGCAGCAAAGCCAGAAAUUUUUCCUUUUUUAUUGGGGGGGAGGGGAGGGGGUAGGGAGGGACAAAUUUUUAUUAAAAUAGAAAUUCUAUCCUAUUGUUAUGUGCUUCAAAAAAUAAUAAAAAGGGAAAUAGUACCAUUGUUAAAUAUUUACCAAUAUUCACAAGCAGAAGAAAUUAUAACUCAAUAAAAUAACAAGGGCACAUAUUGUGUAUGAACAUCUCUGUAGUUUAGAUUUAUUUUAUACCAUUAUGUCACUGAUGAGAAAGAAGUAAACAGGAUGUUGUAAUGUUGCAUUCAAAGAAAAGGAUGAUAGAAUGAUGAGAUCUAGAGUUGUGUCUUGCAUUUGAAUAAUUAUAUAUUAUGUAAUGAUGUAGAAAUGUUGCUUCCGCUGUCUCAAUUAUUAGGAUCAAAAAAUAUGGAUGGAUGAAAAAAUUGAGAAUGUGUAGUGAUGGAAGAAAAGAAGAUAUGACUUGAUAAAUCGGAAUAUUAAUGCUGUGAGUAGAAGGAGGGAAGAGAGAAAUGGAAAUCUUGGGCUCCUGAAUUUUAUUUUUCUUUUAUAUUUUUUUAUAAAAUGGAAAUAAGACAUAAGAAAGAAAAUCGCAUGAAAUAGUAAAUAGGAGGGUGGUGUUGGUGGAAUAUAACUCAAUAUAGCUGGGCACAUGCAAGGUAGUGGGAUUUCUUUUUCCUUUGGGUUUAUUUAAAAUGCUUUAGUUCAAUGAUUCUAGGGACAUGGUUUGGGAGGGUGUCAAGAUACAGGGGAAUUGUGCAUUAUGUUUUGUGAGCAUUCCAUGCCAAGGAGGGGGCCAAGAUUUCUGUUGAGUUAUGUCUUUGUGACUAUUAUGAGUUGUAAGACUUAAUAUAUUAUAAGGGGGGCCCAUGACUGUAACACCUUUAAUUUAAGGGAGUUCUUCCACUAGUAGUCCAUGGAGGUGCUUUGAAAUCCUAGGGGUAACACGGGGGGGCAUGCACCACUGAUAUCACAUGGUUAUUGGUGCAAGAGGAGAAUAGUUCUUUUCCAUUUGUGCCAUUUUGGUGUUGUAGCUUCUCCUGUGGAAAAUGCUGGCAAUAAAAUGGAUGGUUCAAUCGUUUUAUGGCAAUUAGAGCUAGAAUUUUGGUGACUAUCACAAAGAUUGAUGUGAUAUUGUCUACUCUAAUAGGAGAACUGCAUUCCGAGUUGCACAAAUCAUAACGGAAGGUAGGGGUGGGGAUACUAGAGCAUUUAUGUGCAAAAUAUCUAAUGUUUUAUUACCUUUAUAGGUUUUAUAGGAUUUUAUGGUAUAUUACAAUUGCAUUUGAAAGUAUACUCAACUAUAUGUUAGAUUGACAUGAUCUACUUAAUCUUGAAGGUAAUGUAUCAAGAGAUUUCGAUGAUAUAUAACUUGAAUGUCUCAUGAUGUUGAUAUGUUUCCCCUUGGACUUUUAAAGUAUAUCAUCUUUUUAAGAAUACGAAUUACUUAAAAAUUAUGACAUUUGGGAUAGCAAAUUAUAACAUUAUGAUAACAUUCUAGUACUCUAAUGGCACCUAUGCACAUUUAUCAUAUGUAUUCAGCACUGGUAUGUUAUGGAUCAUUAACCAGUGCCUAUGAAGGAAUUAUUACUCAAAUUUGGAAAUUCUAAUUUAUUUGUGAUUUUACGUAUAAAAGAAAAAAAAUAUAAUGUAAUGUGCAUUAGAAGAGAUUAUGUUGUUUUCAUGGAUAUGGUGAUAUGGUAAAAAAAUGAACUAAAUGGAUGAAGAAUUUAAUCAUAAAUUUAGUUUCUUCAUUUCUAGUCCCUCGGCAGUUCAUUCAGUGUAGUGGAGUAUUCAUUAAUGGUUUCCUUCUCUCUCUCUCUCUCUCAAUAUUUGAGAUUGUUGGCGGGCAUUAUUAGUGCAUAGGGGAAGACAAGUACAUGAUCAAUUCUUGCACUCAUUUUUGAUAUGUUCUGGACAUCUUGUCUAAUGAAGUAAUUUGAAAAGGCUGAUAUCUCCUUCAGCUCUUUCCUUUUAGCUACUAUGACAUGUUUUCUGUUCCUCCUUUCCAUUAGGUUUUGAAGUGGUAUUGAGCCUUGAGUUUCAUGAAUGUUCUUGGGGUUAGCUUCGACAAAGAAAAGGGAAGUUAGUUUAAGAUAGUGACUAGAUUUGUCAUGCAAAUUAUUGGAGACUACGAACAUUGGUCAUAAUUCGUGCAUUAGUAAGAAUCAGUGAUCAUUGAACCAACCUGAAUCGGUGGUUCGGCUUGUACUGAGCUAUACUGAUGCUAGUUCAGGAUGGUUUAGUUGUUCGGGUUGGUUCAACACUCAUUUAUAAAGUCAUUCCCCUUGACCCCCUCCUUGUUCGAUGGUUUAAGAGCCUUCGAAACUCUUUCAUUGGCUUCAUCAUUGGACACUGCUCGCUCCCCUUUCUUCGACCUUGGCCGUAUUGGUAAGCCUCCCCCCACUCUCUCUCUUUCUCACCCUACACUCAGAGGAGAUGGAAGGAUAUAAAAUCUCUAACCAUAGGUUUGGAUUGUUCUCUCAUGAAGAAAUCUCAUUGAGAUCUAUCUUACAUUGAAGCUAGGAUCAGAUUUCUUCAUGAGAGUGGAAGCUUUUCUUUCCCGAGAUCGAUCAAGGUAUGGAGCUUCAUCAACGAUCUAGGGCUUCUAUGACAUUUUUGAUCCCUCUCCUUGUUUUGGCCAAAGAAUGUCUAGGUCUAUCUCCCCCUUCCUUCCUCUCCCUCUCGCGCCUUCUUUCUCUUUCUCUCUCUCUCCUCCUCCUCUCCCUCCCUCCUUGUUUCUCUACACCCUGAAACAAUAUGAUAAGGAUCCUUACUAUACCAAACCGGUCGUCGGCCGAUACGAUCCUUGGUGCUGGUUCGGCAAACCUUGGUAAGAACCUUCAAAAGUCAUAUGACUUUUAAGUUUUAAAUGGCCUGCCAUGUAUUUUGCAGUGGUGAAUAUUUGAAAUCAAGGAUGGUUGAACCAGUCGGUCCGGGGCAUAUCGAACUAGACUGGUCGAGGACUUGUCCGUGUGGUUCAGGGCCCCCCACUCCCCAAGCUCACGAUGUUUGGUGCCCCCUUCACUCAUGAUGUUCAAGUAUCGCCCCUCCGUUCCUAUCACAAACACCCCCUCCCCCCAGCGAAAACCACUCGCACUGGUUCAAGAGGAAGGUUUUUGGUAAGUCCUCCCUCCCUCCACCCCUCCUUGAUGCAACAGGAAAGGAAGAAGUGGCUAUUCGAUCGACGAGAUUACACUUUGAAGAUCAACAUGCAGAUGGAAGUAAACUAGACUGAAUAACCCUUCACUUGGUGAAAGAAUUUCUCUCAAAAAGUAUUUUAUAAAAACCUUAUUUGGUAGUCGACUUAUACCUAAUUUCUUAUACUUUUGCAUAUCUUCAUGGCUUUCUAUACUUGCACUGCAUAUUAGUAUGCAUUCAGAGUCUUGAAUUCAUUUUGUCUUAUAUUUAUUCUUGUAGCCUUUUUUCAAUAUUUUGACAAAUUGCAUAUUGUUCUUAAUCUCACCAUAUUUUACCAUAAUUAUUUUUUUCUAACAUUAUAAAUAUCUCUGAUAUUUUCAUUCUCGGCUGUACUUGCAUCUUACUAGUCCAGAUUGUAUAUAUCCUUGGAAGCCUAAAUGCAUCUUACUUUUGUUUCCCUUUUUCCUUUCAAGAUCCAUAUAUAGAAAGGCUUUUCUUAUUAAAACAAAGUUGUGACCAAUGAUUUAUAGGUUAUCGUGUGAGGUGGUUUAGAAGAUUCAUCAUAACAGACUGGUCUCCUAUGAGUCCUAUCUGUUGCAAUUUUGAUGCUUUUACUGUAUUAUUUUUUAGUUGUUCAAAUACUCUUUUGAGUGAGAAGGAAAGAAGAAUAUAAAUGUAAAAAAUCAGAAUAGAAAAGUUAACGAAUAGGUAAAAAGGUGGAGAUCAUAAAAGCAGAAGAAAUGGGGGGAAAAAGGAAGAAAAAUCUAAAUAGUGGGUUUAUUCUUCAUUCUCCUUCUCUGCAUUUUUUUUUUCUUAGCUAAAACUUUUUUAAAAGAACUAUUGGAGGAUAUGCCUAUAAUCACUAUCAGAGGGUCAUGAGAGAAGGAAGAGAAAAAGGAGAAGAGGGAAAGCAUAGGAACGGUAGAUAUAGAAUAACUGGCUGCACGAAGUGUACACACUUGGAUGGCUAUGAUUAAACCUUUAUCUUUUUAUUUUUAUUUUUAUUUUAUUUUUGUUGACCAGCCUGGCAUGGUAGCCAGGUUCUUGUUUGAGUUAUGAACUUAAGUUGAAGUUGUUGUUUACCCAAAAGUACUCCACAAUUAUCAGAAAAUGAUCUGAUCCAAAUUCACCAUCUUGGACAUAUAUCAAUUAAUGACCAAGAUUUUGGAAGCGAUAUUGGUGUCACCAUUAGAUCCACUGAUUUUGGAACAUUGUGCAUGACAAAUUAAUUCUUGUUUUGAGGAACAGUUUUCCUUUUGAUGUGGAAGGCCCUGUCAUCUGGUUGUUGCAGCUUGAUACUUCUGCAACAUUUUAUACAAUUGUCUCAUCAUGCUGCCACAAUUAAAUCUAGUCCUGUUUUGCGCAACUAUAACCUGAUCAGAUAUUAAUAAACAACUAGUUGGGACAGACUUCAUCAGGUAUUGUUCCUAUCUAAUUAAGUUGGUUAGCAGGAUCGAGGCUAAGGUUUAAGUUUGCAGUUUUGAUUUCACUGGAUCUUGACAUCUGUUAUUGGAAGGCUUUGUUCUGUUAUUGACUUCUGUCAGUAAAUAAUUGCUGUUUUGACCAUAUCUAAAAGGCGCUGAAAAAAGAAACCAAUUCUGGAAGCAAUUUGUUGACACAAUAUGUUAUUUAGUUUUGCAAAUUAACUUUUUUUGUUUAAAUAUGUUUAUUUAUGCUCAAUAAUUCCUGGAACUAACACAAAUUUGUCUGUUGCGAUAGGUUUUUGUGAGGAAAUGGCGGAAGACUGCGAGGGAAAUUAUGAUUCUAGUAGCCACUCCCAGGAGAAUUAUCAUGAAGAAUUACACAUUGAGCCUAUUUAUGAGGCCUUUCUCUGCCCGCUUACGAAACAAAUUAUGAGGGAUCCUGUUACCUUAGAGAAUGGACAGACCUUUGAGAGAGAGGCUAUUGAGAAGUGGUUCAAGGAAUGCAGGGAUAGUGGAAGGAAGCCAGUUUGCCCGUUGACACUGAAAGAUCUGAAUAGCACUGACCUGAACCCUAGUAUUGCUCUAAGGAAUACUAUCGAAGAAUGGACCCAAAGAAAUGAAACUGCUCAGCUUGACAAAGCUUGUAGAUCUCUCACUUUAGGAAGCUCAGAAAGUGAUAUUUUACAGGCUCUAAACUUCAUUGCAUAUAUUUGCCAGAAAAGCAGGUCGAGUAAGCAUGUUGUAAGGAAUGCAGAGUUAAUACCUAUGAUUUCUGGCAUGCUGAAAAGCAGCAGCAGGAGAGUGCGGUUGAAAGCAUUAGAAACUCUUCGUAUUGUAGCUGAAGGGGAUAAUGACAAUAAGGUUGUCCUUGGGCUUGCUGGUUUUCUUUUCAGAUGCUCUGCUUCUUUCUCGAGUUGUGUUUCUUGAUGAUAUAUUCACAAUUUCCUUAUUUUGCAGGAAGCUACGGCUGCAGGGGACACCAUUCGUACAAUUGUGAAGUUCUUAUCACAUGAGCAUUCCCAGGAAAGAGAGGAAGCUGUAUCUCUUUUAUAUGAGCUUUCAAAAUCUGAACCUCUGUGUGAAAAGAUUGGUGGGGUCAAUGGAGCAAUUCUUAUACUAGUGGGGAUGGCAAGUAGUAAAUCAGAAAACCUUUCAACUGUUGACAGAGCUGAAAACACACUAGAGAAUCUGGAAAAGUGUGAAAACAAUGUGAGGCAAAUGGCCGAAAAUGGUAGAUUGCAGCCGCUUCUUACCCUACUCCUUGAAGGUAAUUUCUGGUGGCUUGAUCCUUGACAAUUUUGAGCAGGUGAGAUGUUGCUGCACCAAUUUUUCCAAGCUAUUUGCCUCACUCAAUGCCAUGAAAUAUUUUGCAGGUUCACCUGAAACGCAGCUGUCUAUGGCUGCAUAUCUUGGGGAGCUUGUUCUGAGCAAUGAUGUGAAAGUAUUUGUGGCCCAAACUGCAGGUUCAGCCCUGGUUGAUGUCAUGAGAAGUGGAAGCAAGCAAGCAAGAGAAGCUGCUCUCAAAGCAUUGAACCAGAUCUCAUCCUAUGAGACAAGUGCCAAGAUACUAAUCCAAGCAGGCAUUCUCCCCCCUCUCGUGAAGGACCUCUUCACUGUUGGUGUCAACCAGCUUCCCAUGAGGCUGAAGGAAGUGUCUGCAACAGUUCUUGCUAAUGUCGUGUCUUCAGGUGCUGAUUUUGAGUCUAUCCCACUUGGUCAUGACGACCAGACCUUGGUCUCUGAAGACAUUGUGCAUAAUCUACUCCAUCUCAUCAGCAACACAGGUCCUGCAAUUGAGUCUAAGCUCCUUCAGGUCCUUGUUGGACUUACAAGUUCUUCCACAACUGUCCUAAACAUAGUUGCUGCCAUCAAGAGCUCUGGUGCUACCAUCAGUUUGAUUCAAUUUGUAGAAGCUCCACAAAGAGAUCUCCGCAUGGCUUCUAUUAAACUCCUACACAACAUUUCACCUUACAUGGGUCAAGAGCUGGCAGAUGCCCUUCAUGGCACUGCUGGUCAUCUCAGCAGCUUGAUUAAGGUCAUCGCGGAGAAUAAUGGGAUCUCUGAGGAGCAAGCAGCUGCUAUUGGGAUUCUAGCUGACCUUCCUGAGAGGGACUCAGGACUCACUAGGCGGCUUCUGGAUGAGGGGGCCUUCAACAUAACCAUUUCCAAAAUUAUCAGGAUUCGGCAAGGGGAGACUCGUGGAAUUCGUUUCGUCACUCCCUUUCUCGAAGGGCUUGCAAGAGUUCUCUCAAGACUGACAUAUGUUCUGGAGGACAGACCUGAUAUUGUAGCCCUUGCUCGUGAGCAUAAUCUCGCUGCACUUUUUACCGAUCUUCUUCAGAUGAAUGGGCUUGAUGGGGUACAAACAGUCUCUGCUAUGGCACUGGAGAAUCUCUCACAGCAGUCAAAACAUCUAACAAGAAUUCCGGCUGUCCCAGAGCAAGGAUUUUGUUGUUCUAUAUUCCCAUGUCUUGGGAAGCCGCCUGUUUUGACUGGGUUGUGUCGAGUCCACCAUGGAAUCUGUUCGAUGAAAGAGAGCUUUUGUCUGUUAGAAGGGAAGGCAGUGGAGAAGUUGGUUGCCUGUUUGGACCAUACAAAUGAGAAGGUAGUGGAGGCUGCCUUGGCAGCCCUGUGCACUCUGUUGGAAGAUGGAGUGGAUAUCGGGCAAGGUGUGAUGGUUCUAUGUGAUGCAGAUGGGAUUAAACCAAUACUUGAGAUUUUGCGAGAGAACCGAACAGAAAUACUCAGGCAACGAGCUGUUUGGGCUGUUGAGAGGAUUUUGAGGACCGAUGACAUAGCCUAUGAGAUUUCGGGAGAUCAAAAUGUGGGGACGGCAUUGGUCGAAGCUUUCAGGCAUGGGGACUACCGGACGAGGCAGAUUGCUGAACGUGCUCUGAAGCAUGUAGAUAAGUUGCCAAACUUUUCUGGAAUAUUUCCUAAGAUGGGAGGUUGAUGAAUAAACCAAGAUAAAAUCCUUGUUUGUACGGUAAGCUUGUAUAUCGUGUAUCUAUAUUUUUUUUCAUAUUUUGUCUCUUUUCUUGAUUGAAGGAUUUUAGAUUGUUGUCUGUUCACAACAUUUUAAUUGAAUUUUUGAUAUUGGUUGUGGUUUUCUCUCUCUUUUUUUAUUUUAGCAGUGAAUUGGUUGUUGAUGGUGUUAUUCGUCGGCGAAAAUGAUAUCUGGAUGGCAUUGUUUAAAGCCUUCAGGUAUGGUGCUCACCGGAUGAUGCAGAUUACUGAGCCAUGUUUGAUAGAUUGCCGACCUUAAGGGUGAUGGGUGAAAAAGGUUGGAAUCAUUAUUUGUAUCGAGUGCUUGUAGAUCUCUUUUGUCCUCUUUUUAUCUGCUUUGUUUUUCAAUUUGAUCAGAGACUGGUGAUUGUUUAUAUGUUCACGAAAAUCUGGUUGAAAUUUUGCUUGGUGGGGAUUUCUCUCAUUCUUGUGAAAUAUGAAGGUGGUGAUUGGCACUGAUACCAAUCUGCAACUGAAUACAAUCAAUCCAAUCAGAGUUUAUAUGUGGACUUUAAUGUUAAUCACCUUCUCAAGGAUUUUAUCUUGUGUUUUCCAAUCAUGCAUAUCACCUUGGUCAAAUUUAUGAAUGCUCUUGUUAUUCAGUCAUCCAUUCUGAUCAAUUUCUGAUUGUGAGCUUGUUUACUUAAAUUUGACAUUCAUCUCCAAUAUAAAUCAAUAAAAAAAAAAAAUACUAACCAAAAAAACAAUACAUAGUUUAUAAGAAAAUGAGGAGUCUACAAAACUGUGAAGGCGGGCAUCACCUUCACUUAUCUCCUGCAUCCAACUUAUAUAUACUCUCCAAAACUGUGAAGGCGAGCCUAGCCUCGCGCUCCACCUAUCACUUGCGUCUAAUAAGUAUAUCUAAAGUCUACAAAAUUGGGAAGGGAACUUCCCUUAACUGCACAUUGGGAUUAAAUUUAAUCAGUACCUUCCAUGCAUCAGCUGCAUCUAACUAGUCCCCAAAAUUGUGAAGGCGAAAGGCGCCAGUCCUUCGCUGCGCGUUGGCAUUACCUUCAUCACCACCUCCCGAUGCUUUGCUAUUCUCUGAAGCGGCUCCAGUGGAUGGUGGUGGCAUGAAAAGAAACGGCACGAGAAUGCCGGAUCUUUCUGCUCAUAAUUGAAGUCCCCUCAUGCAGUAGAAGAACGCGGCAGGUCAGCAUUGGCCUCCAUCGGCACGAAAGCGCCAUGGCCUUGGCCUGGUCCAUCAUCCAUGGCUGCCUUGGACACCAUUGGCACGUUAGAGCACUCCGCCAUGAAAGCAGGAUUAUUACAAGGAAAACCUUGUUGUUGUUCCCUGCCAUCAUCACCAUGGAGGAAGUCGCCUUGGUUGCACCUGGAAUCCUCCUUGAGAAUUUGGAUCUGCUUCUUGACAGCCUCCUUAGCAGACUCCAGCGAACUAAUCAUCUCUCUCAGAGACUCCUCUGGUAUGUCGUCGAGCGGAGGAGGAUCCCAGGCUUGGCCGCACAUGGUUUUGCGGACCUGGGCUGCGAAGUAGCCCGGAAUGUCGAAGUGAAGCUUGCUCCGCUUCUCGGCGCCGACGCUUCGAUGCCUUCCGACGAUGUCGCGGACGGCUCCUUCGUCCUCCGGCCAUGUGUCGGGCUUGCCGUUGGGAGCGAAGCAUAUGACGGCGAUGGGGGUGCCGCACAGCGUGGACAGCUCGUAGGCCGCCUUCUUGAGGGUUUCUUUCCUCUUCCGGUAGGUGGCCAAACGCUGUCUCCGGUUUUCUAUGAAUUCAAGCUUCAAUUUUUGACGAGCCAUUGGUUUGCCCCAAGCUUCUGGUUCUGGCGAGGAGCAACUUGCUUUAUUUAUAGUAGUUGGAAGGGAGUCCCAGUCCCUUGUCGAGAAGGACUCGGGUUGGACUCCUAGGACUCGGAAUCUGGCUGAAUUGGAUCCUAGUAAUGUUCGGUUUAAUAGAGGGACCGUUUUGGGGAAUAGAUUCACGCAUGACAGAGUACAGAGGGAGUAAUAAGCUACCGGGACACGCACCAAAUACGCGGGUUGUUUGAAUCUUGAGUUGCCAUCACGGACUCCAAGAUGUUUAUUAGUUAAUUUUUUUUCUUUGCUUGUCCAUGUCUAAUUAAGUCAAGCCUUUGGCUGAAAUAACACAAGUUCCAUUCCUUGUAGGUGCAAUUGGUUUGGUUUUAUUAGCGAGGUGAUUGGUAACGCGAGCCAAUUAUGGAGAGAGAGACAGACGUAUAUUUCCCUCUCUCUCCAAUUUGUGAACUACUAGAGGAGGAAUGUGAGAAUUACUAGAUGUAUAUUUUCUUUUCUCUCUAUAAAUCCCACGGUUAUUCGCUAGAUAAAUCUUGAAUAUUUAUAUAAAAUUAAGAAACUUAAAAAAUAUUUUUCAACUAGCCAAUUUGGGUGAGGUCAUUGAUUGUAACAAAUGGUAUCAGAACGGACCCGGCUAGGAGACAACGGGCCUGGACUAGGGGACACUGCAGCACAGAUCCAUUAGAGCUGAUAACGGGCCGAUCGUGGUGCUUGUGAUUAGAUUUGAAUGGAUUUGAACCCAUAGUCUGACGAGAACGUCAGAGUUUAAAUGGGAGGAGUAUGUGAAGACUUAUGCAGUCGUAUGUUUACUCCCACAUAAGUUAUUCGCUAUAUGAAUUCUAGACACUUAUAUAGGAUCAAGAAAUCCAAAUAGUACUUUCUAGCUAAGCCUUUUGGGUGAGAUAUUAGGUUGUUACAAAAUUAUUAUGGUAUCAGAGCAUAAAUGGAUGAAUCAUACUUGUAAUUAAUUGGUACGCUUUUUAUGGGGAUGCUGCUAUCUAAUGGAUAUAGGUCAGGAUGCCUCAACGUCAGAUGAGAAAGACUACUCUUGGUGCUAUAAGUGAGGCACCAAACCAGCAAGAUGGCGGCACACCCCAAUAGGUCAGUAGCACCCCUCAGCAGGAGGAAGUUGUUGAUCCUGCUAGAGAUACUCAAACAGGACAACAAGAAGCAAACUUAGGCCAGGUUAAGUAGAUCCUAGUUGGUAUUAUGUAGAAGCAACAACAGGUGCAGCAGCAGUUGCUCCAACACCAAUAGGGGCAACAAAAGAAAAUGCAGUUGCACCGUGCACAGCAACAUACCGGGCCCAGAGCGGACCCAGCUAAUAAUCUAUGUAGAUUAGGAGAUAUUACAACACAUAUCCAAUAGGACAGACAAUGAGCCGAUUGUGGUGCUUACGAUUAGAUUUAAAUGGAUUUGAACUCUUAGUCUGAUGAGGACGUCAUGACUUAAAUAGGAGGAUAAUGUGAGGACCUAUGCAACUGUGUGUUUAAUUCCACAUCGAUUAUUCACUGGGUAGAUCUUGGGUACUUAUAUAGGAUCAAGAAAUCCAAAUAAUACUUUUUAGUUAGUUAUCUUGGUGAGAUUCUGAGUUGUUACAAAAUUAUUAUGGUAUCAGAGCAUAAGUGGAUGAAUUAAACUUGUUAUUAAUUGGUAUACUUUUUAUGGAUAUGCUGCUAUCUGAUGGAAAUAGGUCAGGACGCCUCUAUGUCGGAUGAGAAAUACUACUCUUGGUGCUACUGAUGAGGCACUAAAUCAGCAAGAUGGCGGCACACCCAAACAGGUCGGUAGCACCCCUCGGUAGGAGGGAGUCAAAUACUCAGACAGGACAACAAGAAGCAAACAUAGGCUAGGUUAAGCAAAUCCUAGUUGGUAUGAUGCAAAUGCAACAGUAGGUGUAGCAGCAGUUGCUCCAACACCAAUAGAUGCAACUAAAGCAAACGCAGUUGUACCAUGCGCAGCAACAACAAGGAUGAGAAAAGCAGUACAACGAGCGUAGUAAUAUAGUUGAGUUCAAGAAGCUAGCUCCUCCAGCUUUCAAGAGGACUACAGAACCUUUAGAAGCUAUUCAGAGAUGCCAGGACGAUGAAAAAAUUCUAUAUGCAUUAUACAUGUUGCAAGACGAAGCAUUCAAUUGGUGGCGGAUGCUAAAAUAUAAAUUUGAGCAGGAUGGGGAACCUCUCACCUAGGAUAGACAGCCUAUGAUGGUUCUAUGUAAUUGUCAUGCCCUAAACUUGGAGCAAGACAGACGCCGCAUACUUGUACGGCAGACCGUAUAGAUAUGCAAGGCAACGGAUCAUAUCAAAGCAAUGACAAAUCAUAAAAAUAUAUAUAAUCAUUAAUUUAUUUAAAUAGUUGUUACAAUAGUUUCAACUUUUAAAGUAACACGUGCUAACAUAAAUCAAAUACUCUAACUACUCUAGCUAAAAUGCCAAUAACUGAGAAAAAUCUUUAGAAAAUCUAGCGCACUCCCUAAAUCCCGUGCGAUUAUGCUUCUAGAUCUGAAAAAAAGAGAAAAUAUGAUAAUGAACUACACUAGCCCAGUAAACAACAUAAUACCCCAAAGAGGAGUCAAUUAAUUAAAACAUAAAAUAAUGACCAUCAAAUAAAUCAUCAAUAAUGCAUAUUUUUUUAAAAAAAUUACUAUCAUUUUCAUAAAAACUUUGAUAUCAUAAUUCCAACAUCAAUAGGUUAUGGCCACAUAAGUGGCAUGGGUUGCACAAAGUGCCAAAUCCACUAUUAUUAACCAUCGGUAGAAAUGGUGUCCAAAUACCACUAUUCUAAUCACUACUGGUGCGAUGUCGAAACCAUUUCUUAUAAAUUACAAAUCGAUAGAGCCAACGAAUAAUCUCCAUAUGGAGGGUCAGAAUAGAUCAUAGACAUGUUAAGAAUACAUACAUAUAAAAUAGAUAGCUUAUCCGGUCAAAUUUUCUAGUUUUCAUAACGUAUAGCAUAGUUUUAAAAUGAUUACCUGCCUGGCCUGUUUUACUAAGUACAAAACAAAUAUCAGAAUUUAAUCAACUAAUUAUUAAUUUUACCAAAAAUUUGAAAAAUACACUUUGAAACAUUAGGUUACUUACCUCUUUUCGCUUUAAAUCCCACUUCAGACAAACUUUUUAGAUACACUUAUUUAAUAUCAUUAAAAUAUUAUUAAUUUUAAAAUCAUUCAAGAAGUCAAAAUUAAAUACUACGGCCUCAUGAUCCUAGAUUAGUUCGGUCAGGUGAUUGUGCCCGACUGCCCAAGCCGGUCCGAGCAAAACAGAUUCAAUUGUGAAGAUAAAAAAUAGACAGAUCUAGCAAGGGUCGAAGUAAUGGCAGAUCUAGCUUGGUUUGAAAACUUUUAGCUCAAUCAAAUAACAAGCUAAACUGGAUCUCAAACUUCCAACAUUAAAAUAUUAUCUAGCCAGAGCACGAUCAAAUCCAAGAUCAAUGAAACUCUAGGCUCUAUUCCCUCCUAGACUCCAUUCAUUGGGUGUUGUUCACCUUACUUAUGAAUAUUAGCACAAUGAAAUAAGAAGCCAAGAUUGAUCUCAAAAUUUGGACUCGAAAAUAAUGUCAAGCAUAAUCAAAACCGAGCUCAAUUAAGCCUGGUCCAUUCCACCCCUGAAGUCCAUUUCUUCUAAGUCACUAUAGAAUACUUAUAACAGAAGUAAGCAUCAUCCAAAUACAACGGGAUCUUUACACAAAGCAGGCAAUUUAAAUUCUCAACUAAUAGGGGAUGUAAUAUCACUUCACAGGCCUUUGAUUUCAGACAGCAAUCAGGUGGUUAGGCAAUUAUCUAUAGUUCAAUCAUGUGACUAUGAUGCUCUUGUUUAGGAGAGACCAUGAAAGCAGCUCUAAUCCAUCAAAAGGCUGUGAGCACAAUCAUUCAAUAGCUGAUCUAAAUGGUGUAUCCGGUUGAGCCUUUCCUACAUACAUAUCUACUUGAUAUAGCCUCAAAAAUUGAUUGAUGUACAGAACACAUUCAAUAUAAUGGAAACAAUUUUGGAUCAAAAGAAAGUAAAGAGUCACCAAUUUUAGCAUAGACAAAACUUCAGAAUUCCUGUACCAUUUUUAUUCUUCCCCUACUCCCAAACUGAAAAACAAAAGGAUGCACUGCCAACCAAUUUGCAUAGGGUUUCUUGCAAAAACAGAAUUAUACAUGUUGAGAACUACAUAAGAUCUUAGGUCCCUAACAUCUUACUGGUAGGCACAAUAGGCACUAGGCCGGCCAUUCCUUCAGGCAUCAUCGAUUCUGUGAAAAGCUUACAGCUUGGAUUUAGGAUGAUUUAACAUGUACAGGGUAUUCUGAGGAAGUGAGAGUCACCAACCUUCCCUUCGGAUAUACAGCUGCCAAGAUCACAAGCCUCAUCUUUGCAGCUAGGCACCUGUAAUGAGAAGCCUUUUUGUUUAAUUGAAAACUGCUCUUAAGAAGUCAUGGAAAUGAGAUUGAUAAGAGUGGGAUUUCGUACCAAGUUGAAAUAUAUACUGAAUCAGGACCCAGCAAAGACAUCCUACAUGAUUGUAUUAAUUGGCCAGGAUCAACUAAACUGUUAGGCUCUUCAAUUUGAUCCAUGGAUGUCAAUUCUGAAAAGCAUCCAGAAAGAAGGGACUUAACUAGCACUCCUCUAGCUUCCCCUUGGUGAUGCAGGAUCCUCUUGAGCAGAAGUAAAUUAAUUAUACUAUCCUUCCAACUUGAGCAAGAUCCCUACUACUUCUCUCAUGGAGGGCCUUGCUUCGCAUGCCCACUGAGUACACGAUACUGCUAGAUCCAUUAGCUUCAGUGCUUUUGCCUUCUCAUCUUCCACCCAGUACCAGAUUUCUUCGUCAAGGCAAUCAAGAGGACUACACUCAUCAAACUUCUGCAAAUUUGAUUUUAUCCAUUGAACAAUGUCAACUCCAUCUUCAAAGCUGGGAUCUACUGGUAAUUUUCUACAAAGAAGCUCUAACAGAACGACUCCAUAGCUGUAAACGUCACUUUUCUCAGUCAGUCUGGUUGAAUAGCCAUUUUCUGAGUCAGAAAUUACAAGAAGCACAGAUUAGAAAUCCAUAAUCCACCAUUACCAACAAGCAUUAUCCUCUAUAUUUUAGAUAUUCAACAGAAAAAGUCAUAUAAGUUCACUGCAUAAUGAAAAGAAUCAAGAAUUAAUUACCAGGGGCAAUGUAGCCAAGAGUUCCUAUGAUUGAAGAUAUUGUUGAACUAACAUCUGAAUUCUUGAUCAUUUUAGCCAUUCCAAAGUCUCCGAUCUUGGCUUCUAGUUCAGAGUCCAUUAAUAUGUUGUUUGAUUUCACAUCCCUAUGAAUAAUCUGUGGCACACAGUCAUGAUGAAGAUAGGACAGGGCUUGGGCUAUCCCGAGAGCAAUAUGAUGACGGGUUUUCCAGUCCAAGGCCACUUGAGGCGUUCUCUGAUGCAGGACUUCGAAAAGUGUCCCACCAGACAUGUACUCAUAAAUUAUGAAACCAAAGCCAUCUCUGAUGCAAUAUCCAGCCAUUCGGACUAUGUUUCGGUGCUUUACCAAACUCAGAAUCUUCAUUUCAAGGGAAAAGCUGGAUUCGGAUAGAUCAAGCUUCUUCACAGCCCAACAUUUGCCGAUUCCAAACAUGGUGCGAUAAACAAUCCCAUGCCUGCCCCUCCCAACCACAUACUUUUCACUCAACUCUUCAGUAGCUCGCAAUAUAUCUUCAUAUGUCAAAUCUCCUGGCAAAUCUUCAGUCAAGUCAACACUAUGUAUCAAAACAUGAGGAGCUGACAGGCGAUGAGCUCUCACAGCUAAAUAGUUGAUAGCACAUAAUCCAGCUACUAGGAGGACUACGCCGGACACCACUGCAGCUAGUAAAACCCAUCUAGUUCUGUGGCCAUGCUGUUUUAUUUCUUUCUGGCAAUAACUCCCAUCUUUGCCUAGUAGACAUAAGUCAGGGAUUCCCGAGAAAGAGUCUGGUGAUGAAGCUAAGAGCUUAACCCAACUGGUUGGCAGAUUCCCAGAUAGUUGGUUACAAGAUAUAUUUACAAAUGAAAGGGAGUUCAUAUUGUUUAGUUGUGAAGGAAUCUGACCAGACAGAGAAUUGUUCGAUAAAUCAAGCAUCAGAAGCUUAUCAAGGUUACCAAGGCUAGCAGGAAUCUGGCCAGUCAAUCUGUUGUUGCUAAGGUUCAGUGCUAGAUAUAUGUAUCGAAGAUUACCUAGACUGUAAGGGAUAGUCCCAUCCAGCAUGUUGUUUCCAAGCUGCAAUUCGAGUAGGCCCUGGAGGGAUGUAAAGGAGUCUGGAAUCCUUCCCUCAAGCUUGUUCCCUGAGAGGAUCAGACUUUGCAGCUUCUCUGAUGUAGCAAUCUCCACAGGAAUACUUCCUGAAAGUUGAUUUUCACUGAGGUCUAAGAGAAGAAGCUUUGUGCAAUUACCUAAUUCAGAGGGAAUUGAUCCCGUUAACCUGUUCGAGGAGAUGCGUAAAGUUUGAAGAUUCCUAAGGUUACCAAGCUCGGGAGGUAAAGGCCCAGAAAAAGAAUUGUUUGAAAUGUCAAGCAUUGAGAGGUUGUGCCAGGAACCAAGAAGGGGUGGUAUGCUUCCAUCAAACAAGUUACUGCUGAGGUCCAAGUAUGAUGUUCCCAAUUUCAAACUCAAGUUUCCUGGUAUAUUUCCUUGUAGACAAUUGUGGCUUAGUAUCAGUCUCCUAAGGGAUGCACAGCCAGCAAUCUCAACAGGGAAGCUACCAUUGAAGCGGUUGCGUCCGAUGACCAAAACAGUAAGGUUACCACCUGAGCAGAGAUCGGUCGGGAUCGGCCCAUAAAAAUCAUUGCCUGUCAAAUCCAGCAUGACCAAACCACCGACCGUGCUCUUCCCGAGAGCUGGAGGCACCUCCCCAGUUAGAUUGUUGAAAGCCAAAGCCAGAGAACUCAGCUGCCUCAGAAAGGUAAUCUCUGCAGGGAUCUCUCCACUCAAACUGUUGUUAUACAACUGCAAGCUCACAAGACUGCUCAUUUUCCCAACAUCUCGAGGAAUAGUUCCUUCUAAUUGGUUCUUAAAGAGGUAGAGGCUCUCAAGGUUCUUGAGAUCACAAAUCUCCGGGGGAAUCGAUCCUCCAAUAAGAUUUUCCUGAAGCCCAAGCUCCACCAAGGAGCUGCAUUUCCCUGAGCUCGGGCGGCAGAGACCCCACAAGAAGGUUCUGCCCAAGAUAAAGAUACUCCAGAUUCCUGAGGUCUCCUAUCGAGGGUGGGAUUGGACCUGUGAGCCGAUUCCCCCACAAGGAGAGAGUGAUCAAUGAUCGGCAUCGGCCAAUUCCUUCAGGGAUGGUGCCAUUGAAACCAUUCCCUGAAAGAUCAAGCACUUGCAGGUUCUCAAGGCUUUCUAUGCUCCUCGGCAACUCUCCCACGAAGUUAUUAUCAUCCAGAUAGAGUGCCUCCAGCCGGCGAAGGCCGGAGAACACAUCCGGCAGAAUUCCUCCAAAACCAUUAUAGGAUGCAGAGAAUGAUGUAAGGUUCCGGCAAUUGAUCAGGCUAUGAGGGAGCUCGCCGGAGAGCAUGUUCUCGUGAACAUACAGUUCGGAGAUCGAGCAAUCGGCGGGGAAGCCGAGCAAUCUCCCAGAAAGAUUGUUGGUGUUGAGGUACAAGUAUUUGAGAUUGGGGAGGAGGAAGAGCUGCUCCGGGAUCUCUCCAUUCAAUGAAUUCUGAUACAGACCGAGGUAUUCCAGCUUAGUGGAGGAUCUUACCUCGGGAGGGAUCGAGCCGGAGAGAGCAUUGUCGCCGAGGUUGAGCUUUACGAGCGAUUUGGAGCGGAAGAGUUCCGGCGGGAUGGAGCCGGAGAGGAGAUUGCCGUCGAGAAGGAGAAUGCGGAGGCGGGAGCAGGCGCCGAGCUGGGGGGGGAUGGGGCCGGAGAAGCGGUUGAGGCUGAGGUCGAGGGAGAGGAGGGAGGGGAGGCGGCAGAGGUGGGGGGCAGAGGCGGCGAGGGGGACGGCGAGGGCGAGGCCGGAGAUGUUAAGGGAUGAGAUGGCGCCGGGGGAGCGAGAGGCGCAUGAAACGCCGGCCCAGCGGCAGGUGGGGAGGGAUUGGUUCCAGGGGAGAAGCGGCUGAGAGGAUUUUGGUAGGCUGUGGAGGAAGGAGAGGAGAGAAGAAGCAGAUACAUUUGAGGAUGGAGGAGGCAAUGGGGGUGGUGAAGAUGAUAGAGAUGGUGACAUGGAAGCAAAGAGAGUGAUGAUGAUGUUGAGGAGAAGGGAAUGGUGGAGACUAGACAUAGUUGUUGUGUGAGCCUUGAUUUAAGAGUAUUUUGGGGGAUGGUUGAGGGGUUGGGGUGUUAUAAGGUAUGGGCUGGGUGGGUGCUGCUGGUUUUCUUAGUAAUGGUCGGUGGUGGUGGCGUGGGAAGUGUGGCUUUUCUGAGAGCCUUUGAUUUUGAGUAAAGAGAGGUAUGAUGGAAAGGGAGAAUCCCGAGUGUUCUCUGCUGUUGUGUUCACUAGCUUUUGCGGAUACACUGCUCGUUUUGGUGGAGAAGACAUGAGAACAGUAUAAAUAUAUGAUAUAUUUCGAGUGUGCGUUCAUGGGUUGUCGAGGGAUCAGGCUCGAUGGACCUUUAGGCACAGUUCCCAACGUGCCACAUCUAAUUCGAGCCCAAUGAAGGCCAUGAAAUGUGCUUGGUGGAUUAGUUAGCACAGAAAUCAUCACCAGAGAAUAUCACAUGGGACCAACUUUCUAUUUUGCUAUGCUUCCCGGUAGACCUUCUGCUACAGUCUCUCAGUUCAGUAACUUAAAAAAAUAAAAAAAAAAAAAAAAAACCCUUAGAGCAUGAAGAGAGGCUAUCCGCUUGCAUCCUCUCUUCUAUCUUUUCAAGCCUCUCUCUAUCCGUUCUCUUCUUUGUCAAGCGGUCUCUCCCAUAUGCAAGGCAUUCCUUUUUCUUCUCGAGUUAUUUUCUCUUUAUGCUAUUUCUUUUUUCUUUUCUAAUAGCAAAGAAGCUUACAGAAUGUAUCAGAAAACCGACGAGUGUGUAUACUAUAUACUAUAUACUGGUGAACACCAUAUUCUAAAACUAUAUAUCAAUUUAGCUAGAGAUGUGCGUUAAGAUGUGAAAUGAUUAUUUUGCUAGGUAUGUAUCAUCUGGUUAUGUAGUGUGUACUGGUGAAUACCAUAUUCUGAAAACUAUAUAUCAAUUUUUUUAGAGGUAUAUAUAGGGACGCUGGAUGACUAUUUUGUCAGGUGUAUAUCAUCCAACCAUGCAUAUAUAUGUAUUGAUAAAUAUUAUAAUUUGAAAAUUAUGUAUUAAUUUAUUUAGAGGUAUAUAUUGAAUCACUGUUGUAUGUGUAUUAAAAAAGUUUAUAAUAUGCAAAUAAGAAGAAAUGAUGCGAGUAGACAACUUCUCUUCACACGUGUAUUUUUUUUCUGUGUUUUUUAGUCACGGAACUAACAGACUCCGUUAGUAGGAGGAAUCCUAUUCUGAUUUUUUUUUAAGAUAGCUGCUAGAGAAGAUAUGUCAAAAUAGGAAUCACUUUUGUUCCGUGGGAAUUGUGGCUUUUCUGGGAACCUUUUUCUUUUGAGUAAACCGAGGCAUAUUGGACAGGGGGAAUUCCAUGUGUUACAGUAGAACAUGUGGAAUGUUGGAUGAGGGGUGUUAGUGUUAUCCGCUUUGCUUUCCAUUGUUCUCUUUCUACGUGGUUAUGAUUAGGAUGCUGAAGGUUGGACAGUGGUGCGUUCACUAGCCCUCGUGGAUACACUGUUGCUUUGGUUGAGGAAGACACGAGGAAAAUACAAAAAUAUGAUAUAUUUCGAGUGUGUCGUUGGGUUGACGAGGGACGAGGCUUGAUGGACCUUCUAGGCAGCAUUUCCAACGUGAAACAACUAAUUCGGGCCUAAUGAAAGGCCAUAAAGAUUGCUUGAUGGAUCAGUCAAUAUGAGAAUUUGUGCAGAGUAUGUUUAGUCCCACAUCGGUUAUUCGCUGGAUAGAUUUUGUGUACUUAUACAAGAUCAAGGAACCCAAAUAAUACCUUCCGGCUAGCCAUUUUGGGUGAGGUCCGGGUUGUGACAAAUGGUAUUAGAGCGGACCCGGCCCAUAAUCCAUGUGGACUAGAAAACACUGCAGCACGGAUCCAUUGGGGCUAACCAUGAGCUGAUCGUGGUGUUUGUGAUUAGAUUUGAAUGGAUUUGAACCUUUAGCCUGACAAGGAUAUCAGGACUUGAAUGGGAGGAGUAUGUGAGGACCCGUGCGGGCGUGUGUUUAGUCCCGCAUCGGUUAUUCGCUGGGUAAAUCUUGGAUACUUAUAUAGGAUCAAGAAACUCAAAUAAUACAUUCCGGCUAGCCAUUUUGGGUGAGGUCUUGGGUUGUUACAAAUGGUAUCAGAGCGGACCCGGCCCAUAAUCUAUGUGCACUAGGAGACAUUGCAGUACGGAUCCAUUGGGGUUGACCAUAGGUCAAUCGUGGUGUUUGUGAUUAGAUUUGAAUAGAUUUGAACCUUUAGCUUGACGAGGACGUCAGGGCUUGAACGGGGAGUAUGUGAGGACCCGUGCAGGUGUGUGUUUAGUCCCACAUCGGUUAUUUGCUGGGUAGAUCUUGAGUACUUGUACAGGAUCAAGAAACUCAAAUAAUACCUUCGGGCUAGCCAUUUUGGGUGAGGUCUUGGGUUGUUACAAAUGGUAUCAGAGCGAAUCUGGUCCAUAACCUAUAUGGACUAGGGGGCACUACAUCACGGAUCCAUUGGGGCUGACCACGGGCCAAUCGCGGUGUUUGUGAUUAGAUUUGAAUAGAUUUGAACCUUUAGCCUNNNNNNNNNNNNNNNNNNNNNNNNNNNNNNNNNNNNNNNNNNNNNNNNNNNNNNNNNNNNNNNNNNNNNNNNNAACCCAAAUAAUACCUUCUUGCUAGCUAUUUUCGGUGAGGUCCUGGGUUGUGACAGUCAAUUCCAUGAGAUUUCAUCCAAAAAUAAAAGAUAUAAAAGUUAACCUAUAAAUUGUAAUUUAUUUUUAGCCUUUGUAAUUUUGAAUGACCUUUCUAUUCAAAUAUAACAUGUUUAUAAUUAUAUUUGGAGGUGUGUAGUAUGUCUCUUCUGAUUAAUAUUAGUUUGACGAACUGAAUAUUUUGCUUCAGUGCAUCAUUCUUAACAUUUUAGUUUCAUUUGAAUAAUUAUUUUAAAGAUGUUUAUAUGUUAUUUAAGCUAACUACAUAGCUCGCGUAAAUUUAACUCUACUGAAAUAGAGAUGGAUUAUGGUGUCCUGAGGUUUUUAUAUGCUUACACCAGCGGGCACCUGCAGAGCAUGGUCUCCAAGGAUACAAUUGUUUAAAAUAAAAAUAAUGACAAAAACAUCCAACUUGAUGAACCCUGUGAAACUAUCAUAGUGGACCAUAAAAUAGUGCACCCCACUUUGUUAUUUGAUGGUUCCAAUGCAGCCAGAGGUGGCAAUUUACUCCAGCCUCAUCCAACCCUAAUACAACGAGUUUUACCUGACCUACAGCGAAUCUAGAACAUAUAUGGAUAAUAGUAAAACCUGCUCCGAACUUGAUCCGAGUAUAUAUAAUUUUCAUAAAUUCUCUCCCCGCAGCCUAAAAAGAUAAUUUGUAUGUAAAAAAAAAAAUGUAGCUUUGCUCAACUUAAUCUGUCCAACUCAUCUUAUCUAACUCUGCUUCUGUCCCAUACCCGAAUGAGUCUAUCCCAUCCUGUAAAGCAGUCCCCUCAGUGGGACACAGUUUUCAUUGAAAGAUUAGAGAGAUUACCAACAAAGUUGUGCUCCUGUGUGCUUACUUAAUGUACAAGAAGCUCCACAUGCAGCUACCACAUGUGACACAAUAUUCGAUGAUUUCUCGCCCACCUUACUUUACCGAAAAGCUUACCACCAAAACAGCACACUUGAAAGCUGCGAGCAGAAAGGAAAACUUAUCAGCCCUAUCUCAUUACCUUAUAAAAAAUAUAAUAUGGGCAAGAUGGGUGAUCCUGGUGUGGUAUGGCAGUCAAAGGCUGAAAAGAUUCGAGCUCCUCUCUAAAAUCCAGCGGCGACAUAUCAGCUAGCAAGACUGAAGAGAACAAAUUCCCGGACAAGAACGUCCGGUUGCCGCAUAAAGAAUUCAUGAAGGUUGGGUUUCAGUAAGAUGAGAAGCAUUAGGAGUACCUGUUCCUUUUUAAAUAAUACUAGGAUGAGUUUCCCAUUAGACAAGCAUCAAACACA
rnacentral:lncRNA from 1 species